UGGACUUUAGAUAUUAUAUAUCGAUACAGCAACAGUGAGUAUCACUUGAAAUUAAACCUUAUUUUACAAAUGUUUUGAUAUACCAAAAUAAUAACACACACAAAAAAAGUAGUCCGUAUAUAUAUUCACGGGAAAUUAAAUAUAUAUUCAAGAUUACACAACUAUGAUAAAGCACACAAUAUAUUAAAACUAGCAUAUGACUAGGAAGCAGACCCCAACGUGUAGGGAGAGAAAAUGGAGAGCAUUUUAUACCUUAGUCUUUCAGUCGAAGUCUUUGCUGCAAUUUGACUGUCUCCAAUGCCAUUGUCAAUCUGAUCCAAUCUUCUAGUUUAUUCACUAGCCGAAAGUAUUUAUGUCUCCAAGACCUGCUAAUAAUUAACGAACCGAAAACACCCCAAAAUCCAACAAGAAAUCCAACUGUCAUUCCAGUAAAAAACCUGUAAUAAAAACCCACAAAACAUUUGUUGCCAAGUUUUUACAUUUAUGAGGGAUGAAGGUACAUCAUUUGAAAAAACUUAUUGCUCCUCAAACUCACUGAUGGACCCUGCUCUAUCAAAUCCAUUGAGCUUGCUAUUAUUCCCAAUAAAUUAUCAUUUGAAAUACUAAUGAUUUAAUGUCGCUGUAGCUGUAGUCAGAAUUUCAAACCUCAUUAUAUAUGAUGAAGUUGGUCAGUAUGAAGCAAACACUCGACAGCAGGCAGGCCAUGAAGACCAAGCUAUGUAGGAGCUGCUGAUGCAAGCUUAUUUUGCUCAUUUUGUAAUUUCUAGUCAAUGAAAUGUAAUUUAGUUCAUUUAGAACUAUGUUAGGUAGAUGAUUGAUGUAAUUUUCUAUCAUAUGAGCUGUUAAUUCAACUUUGCUUGUAUGCACAAGUUAAUUACUUCAAGUUUCAAUGUUUAGUGGUGUUAGGUAACCAUUAGGUGAAUGUUUACUGUUUUUGACAAGCUUAGAGCUUGAUUUAUGUAUUGGCAUUUUGCCACUGUUAAUUCUAUGAAUGAAUCAAGUUUUGUUCAUCAAAUACUCUCCAUUUUUCUAGCUUUUUCUUUUUUUUCUUUUGCUCGAAUUUAUUUGUUUGCUCAGCAAGCAUCGAGGCUUGUUGCACAAGACACUUGCCGAGUCUGUUAUUUCUGUUAGUGCACCAAAAAUUGGUAUCUAGAGCCUAUUUCUUAAGGGACCUGGUAUUCAAUGAAUGGCUUCAUCAAACUUUUCACCAGCUACACCAUAAGUUUUCAAUGGGGAAGGCUAUCACAUAUGAGUGGUCAAAAUGAAGACCUACCUGCAGGCUUUCGAUCUGUGGGAGGUGGUCAACUUUGAUGUUGAACCAGAGCCACUUAGAGCUAAUCCAACAGUGGCUCAGAUAAGGCAGCAUGCUGAUGAGAGGACCAAGAGGCACAAGGCCAUGUCCUGCAUACAGAACUCAGUGUCAGAUGUGAUUUUCACAAGGAUUAUGGCUUGUGAAACACCAAAGCAGGCCUGGGAUAAGUUGAAAGAGGAGUUUCAAGGGACAGAGAGGACAAGGCAUCAACAGUUGUUAAAUUUAAUGAGAGAAUUCGAGAACUUGAAGAUGAAGGAAGAAGAAAGUGUCAAGCAAUAUUCUGACAGGAUUAUGGCUGUGGUAAACAGCAUAAGGCUCCUUGGUGAGCAGUUCAGUGAAGCUGGGAUAGUGGAGAAGGUGAUUUCAACAUUACCAGAGAGGUAUGAGGUAAAAAUCUCAUCUCUCGAAGACUUAAGGGACUUGACCAGUAUUCCCUUGACAGAGCUUAUCAAUGCUCUUUAUGCACAAGAGCAGAGAAGAGCUAGCAGACUGGAGGAGCACCAGGAAGGUGCCUUUUAGGCAAAAACCAAUACUGCCUAUAAAGGCAAGAAGACCUGGAAAAAUAGGCCUAAGCCUGAUGCUACAAGGGGCAAUGACCAACCUUGCAGGCAUUGCAAGAGGCCUAGUCAUCCAGAAGAAAAAUGUUGGUUCAAUCCAGAUGCUGUAUGCCAGUAUUGCAAAAAGAAGGGUCAUGCUGAAAGAGUCUGCAAAAGCAAGGCCAAAUCAAGGCAGAAUCAGUUUCAACAGAUGAAAGCUGAGGCUCGAGUAGCCAAGGAGGACAGUGACCAAGAGGAGUAAGUUUUUACUGUGUCAUGCUCAGCUGUACAGGAGAGGCUCUCAUCUGGUUGGCUUCUAGACAGUGGAUGCACCAAUCACAUGACACCUGAUGCUGCAAUCUUCAAAUCUUUAGACAGAAACUGCAGAACCAAAAUCAAAAUAGGUAAUGGCCACUUUAUUCAAGCUGAAGGCAAGGGUGAUGUGCUGAUAUGCACUCCCACAGGUGCCAAAGUGAUUUCAAAUGUGCUCCUGGUGCCUGAAAUUGACAGAAACCUGCUCAGUAUAGCUCAACUGCUGGAGAGAGGUUAUUCUGUGAUGUUCAAAGAUAACCAAUGCCAAAUCAGUGAUCCAAGUGGAUCCAAGCUGAUGGCAGUCCCUAUGACUGAUAAGAGCUUUGUAGUUGACUGGACAAUAGAGUCAGACACUGCCUACGCAGCUACAACAGUUGAAUCCAAGCUUUGGCAUUAAAGGCUUGGACAUGCCAAUUUCAGAUCAAUGGCUCAAAUGGUCAGAGAAGGAUUAGCUGAAAACUUCACCAACAUAGUGAAGCAUGAUGAUGUGUGUGAAGUAUGUCAGCUAGGCAAGCAGGCUAAACUUCCAUUUCCCUCAAAUCAAGCCUGGAGAGCCUCUGAAAGAUUGCAAUUGGUGCACACUGAUGUGUAUGGCCCCAUGAAGACUGAUUCAUUAAGUGGAAACAGGUAUUUCAUAUUGUUCAUUGAUGAUUUCUCGAGAUAUUGUUGGCUUUACUUCUUGAAACAGAAAUCAGAGGUGGCCUCUGUGUUUUGGAAGUUCAAAACUGCUGCUGAAAUUGAAACAGGUUGCAAGCUAAAGACCAUAAGGUCUGAUAAUGGGACUGAGUAUACCUCAGCUCAGUUCCAAGCCUUUUGUGAUAAGGCAGGCAUCAAAGAUCAACUUACCAACACUUAUACACCUCAGUCAAAUGGUGUGAGUGAAAGGAAGAAUAGGAGUUUGAUGGAUAUGGCUAGGUGCCUGGUGAUUCAGAAGAAACUGCCUAAAGCUCUAUGGGCAGAAGCAGUUAACACUACAACAUACAUUCAAAACAGGCUUCCAACCAAAGCUUUGGACCAGAAGACUCCAUUCGAGGCCUGGUUUGGAUUCAAACCAUCACUGGCUCAUCUGAAGGUCUUUGGAUGCAUCUGUUAUGCACAUGUACCUGCUGUUAAAAGGGACAAAUUGUCUGAAAGGGCUCGACCUGGUAUUCUGAUGGGCUACAGCACUGUCAAGAAGGGUUUUAGGAUCUUGGAUCCUUCAACAAACAAAUUGUCAGUCAGCAGGGAUGUGGUAUUUGAUGAAAGGUCAUGUUGGAACUGGGAAAGACAUGAACCUGAGGAAGUUUCAGAAGAACUUGCAGCAGAUCAAGCUGAGCCAGACCAAAAUGGUCCUGAAAUGGACAUUGAUGAUAAAACAGUCAGGGGAAUAAGACCAUUGACUGAGAUUUAUGAAAGGGCUCAUGUAGCCAUAGCUGAACCAAGCAACUUUGAAGAGGCUGAAGCUCAGCAAGGGUGGAAGCAGGUAAUGGCUGAGGAGAUCAGCAUGAUUGAGAAGAACCAGACCUAGAAAUUGGUUGAAAGGCCAGUCAAAAAGAAGGUAAUUGGGGUGAAAUGGGUGUACAAAGCCAAGCAAAAUGCUGAUGGAACCUUGAACAAACUAAAAGCAAGGCUAGUUGUCAAGGGGUUCAGUCAAAAAUAUGGCCUGGACUAUCUGGAGACCUUUGCACCAGUGGCCAGGCUUGACACCAUCAGACUGCUGAUUACCUUAGCAGCACAGCUCGAAUGGAAGAUCCAUCAACUAGAUGUGAAGUUAGCUUUUUUGAAUGGCUUCUUAGAUGAAGACAUUUAUGUUGAUCAACCACAAGGGUUUGAGAUAGUUGGCAAAGAGCACAUGGUCUAUAAACUGAAGAAGGCCCUAUAUGGCUUAAAACAGGCUCCAAGGGCCUGGUAUUCCAGAAUCGAUGGCUACUUGACUAAUUUGGGAUUUUUUCGAAGCAAGAGUGAACCAACACUGUAUGUCAAGAAGGAAGGGGCACAAACACAGCUCAUUGUGUCCCUAUAUGUUGAUGACCUGCUGGUGACAGGAGGAGAUCAAACAAUGCUGGUCAAUUUCAAGACCAAGAUGCAGGAGGUGUUUGAAAUGUCUGAUCUAGAGGAGAUGUCCUAUUUUCUUGGAAUGGAGGUGUCACAAACACAAAAUGGGAUAUUCCUAAGUCAGAAAAGCUUUGCCACAAAGAUUCUGACCAAGUUCUCCAUGCAGAACAACAAGGCAACUAAAACUCCUAUUGCUGUUAGAGAGAAACUAUCGAGCCAAGGUGAAUUUGAGAGAGUUUGUGAAACUACCUACAGAAGUCUAGUUGGUUGUUUGCUAUACUUAACUGCCACUAGGCCAGACAUAAUGUAUGCUGUAGGAUUGCUCUCAAGAUUCUUGCAUUGCUGCAAUGAGAAGCAUUUUCAGGCUGCAAAAAGAGUGCUCAGAUAUAUCAAAGGCACUUUAAGCUAUGGUUUGAAGUAUAGCAAGGAAGAAAAUCUGAAGCUGGUUGGCUAUACUGAUAGUGACUAGGCUGGCUCGAUAGAUGAUAUGAAAAGCACCUCAGGGUAUACUUUUAACCUUGGUUCAGCCAUGUUCUGCUGAAGCUCGAAGAAGCAAAGCCUGGUGGCUCAAUCUACUGCUGAAGCAGAGUAUGUGGCAGCAGCAAGUGCUGUCAACCAAGCCAUUUGGCUAAGGAAAAUCUUUGCCGAUUUGAAUGUACAUCAAAGAGAAGCAACAGAGAUCUUUUGUGACAACCAAUCUACUGUUGCAAUUGCUAAAAAUCUAGUGUUCCAUGGAAGAACAAAGCAUUUCAGCAUUAAAUUGCAUGUUGUUCGAGAAAUGGAGCAAGCACAAGAGAUGAAGCUAAUUCAUUGUAAUUUAGAGGAUCAACUUGCUGACUGUAACACCCCUUAACCCCGAACCGUCGUCGGAAUAGGGUUACGAGGCAUUACCGAAAGUAUCAAACAGUUUACAACAAAUCUGCCCAAUCGCGCAGCAGUUACUAAAUUACUUAUAAUUUUAGCUACGGAACUCAAAAUUUAAUUCCAUAAAUUUUCCCUGAAACUAGACUCGUAUAUCUUCCUACCAUAAAAAUUUCAUAAUUUUUGGUCCAGCCAAUUAGUACAGUUUAUUAGUUAAAGUAAGCCCUGUUUCACCAAUUGACUGCCCUGACCUCUUGUCACUAAAAAUAAAAUUUCUCAUUGUAGGAUUGUCAUAUGAAGUUAUUACUUGUUUCUAGAGAAAAUAGACUCAAUAAGGAUUCUAUACAUAUAAACUACAACUCAUAAUUAUUUUUUUACCAUUUUUAGUGAUUUUCUAAACUUAGAAUAGGGGACUCCAAAAACAGUUCUGACCCUGUCUCACUAAAAUUCACAUAUCUUAAAAUAUAAAAUUCUUUUUGCUAAACCGUUAUUUUUAUAUGAAAAUAGACUUAACAAGCUUUAAUUUAAUAUAUCAUUCACCCUCUAAUUCAUUUUAUACUAUCCUAGGUGAUUUUUCAAAGUUACGUCACUGUUGCUGCCUGAAUUCUGUUUCUUUGCAAAGUUUACCCUUUCUUGAUUUUCAUACUUAACCAUUUUAAAAGCCAAACAUUAUCACAUGCUCACACAUCUUUCUUUAGCAAUCUCAUAGAUACAACAUUCAAAAUGACUAAUCCCUAUACAUCACUUAGGUUUAUACAUUACCUAGGUACAUGUCACAUUAUCAACAGAAAGGUACAUCACUAAAAUGUCUCUGAGGUCGGGAUUACUUUGGAUGCUGGAUCGAACACUAGUUUUUUUACUAACCUGCGCACGGAAACAACCGUACGCUGAGUAUGGGUAUACUCAGUGGUAUUACCAUAAUUCAAAUUAAUAACAUUAAUCGAUAAAUUAUAAAUAUUUUAUUUAUGUCUACAAUUAUUCAUUAAUUAUCUCAUACAUUAAAUCAACUUGAUAAUUAAUAACAAUAAGCAAUAAUUCAAAUCUUAUAUUUAAUUGUAUUCAUACCUUAUUUCACUAUCUCAAUUCCGUGGGAUUUUUUCUUAUAGUUCAUUUCAAUUCAUAUACAAUUCAUUUCAUUUAAUUUAUAUUCAAUAUCAAUUUUAUUGCAAUUUUUACUCACUAAUAUCAUAUAACAAAAUUUACUCUUUAUCAUAUUAUGAACUUUGGGUUCAUAUAUUUAAAUCUCAUAUCUCGAUUUCCAAUUCACAUAUCAAUUCACAAUUUCACUUUCUCAUUUCUUUCCAUAUCCCAAUCAGUCACACUUAUUCAAAUUUUCUCAUUUCAAUUAUUUACCCCUAUUAACAAGACUCGGACCUUGGCGGAUACACGGAUCCAACCAAACACACCAGAAUGGCACCCAGUGCCUCAUCGGAUAGUUCGAAGCAAUAGUUGACACCCAGUGUCUCAUCGGCAAAGCCGAAGUAAGUUGGUACCCAGUACCUCAUCGAAUCUAUCCGAAGUAACAGUAUGACACCCAGUGUCUCAUCGACUCAAGGUCGAAGUAUCCCUGAACACUUCCAAUCCUAUGGCAUGCCAACUAUAUCCGACUCAGCCCGACUAGUUAAUAGGGUUUCCGAAUCACAUUUCAAUUCAAUCACUUUCUCAUACUUUCAAUUCAAAUCAUUCCAAUUUAAUCACCAUUUGAUUCAAUACAUUUUUCUAUUUCAAAUUCACUUCCCACUUUCAAAUCAAUGUACAGUUCAGUACCAAUACAUAUUUCACAAAUCAUACUUCGAUUCGAAUCAAACCACUUUUCAGUCAAUACUCAAUUCACGUAUUCACACUUAUUCAUAAUUUAAUUCACUUUUAUUCAAUUCAUAUUUUUAAUUCAUUCAAUUAAAUAUCGAUAUUCUCCUUAUUUUUAUUUACUAAACAUAUUAUUCAAAAUUCAACAAUUACUAUCAAUAAAUUCAAUAUCAAUACGUAUAUAUAUAUAUUUCAUUCGAUUCAAUCAUGAUACUCACCUCAAUUUUCUUAUCAUGUAUAUUAAUUUAAAUUUUAACGAUUAAUAAUUAAAUUCGAAUUAUGGUAAUACUAACCGGAAUUUCUCUCGAGUCACUUCUUGUCCACUUUCCCCUUUCCUUUCUCGGACAAUAACUCGUGCACGACAUUAGCUACGUAAUUAAACAAUUAAAAAUCAUUAAUACACAAUUUCAUUAAAACAUUUCCCGUAUACCUAAACUUUACCCAAAUUCUAAUUUAAUCCCUUAUCAAUACUAAUUUUAUUUUUCCAUUCUAACUCUAUAUUCUCUCUUAAUUCUUACUAUAAACUCAGUUUAAUUCUUCAAUUUCCCCAUAAAUCCCUAAUUUCGGGAUUCUUUCAAUUUAAUCCCUAUCAGUUCAAAACUUAUAUUUUAUUUUACAAAUCAAUCUUUUACUAACUUCUAACUUAAAAUUCAAUCAUUUUAACCUCUAGUUCAUCAAUUAAUUCAACAUAACUCAUGUCUAACAAUCUACUAACUUUCAAAAUAUCAACAUAAAUCAAGUAGUAUUUAUCUCUAGGAUUCCAAAAACUCAAAAAUUAUAAGAAAAAGACUUAAUUUGACUUACCAAUUGAGCUUGGAACCUUAAAACCUUAAAUUUCCCUUUUUCUUUUUCUUUCUUUCUUUCUUUCUUUCCUUCCUUCUCUGCCCGUUUUGCUCUCUGUUUCUUUCUCUGUUUCGUCUCUUCUAUUCUGUUUCUUUUCUUUCUUUUUCUAUUCUUUCUUUUGUUUUAUGUAUAUAUAUAAUAUAAUAUAAUAUAUUAAUAAUAAUAUAAUAUAAAAACAUAAUCAUUACUAUAAUAUAAGAAUAUUUUUUUAACACAUAAAAAUCUCAGAUUUUUAUACUUAUGCCGCCUCAACUUUGGAAAAAGGCAUAAUUGCCUAUUUGGUCCUUUUAACUUUUCUUUAAUCUAUAAUUAAACUUUUAUCCCUAUUGCAAUUUAAUCCUUUUUCAUAAUUAACUAUCGAAACGUUAAAAUUUCUUAACGAAACUUUAAUAUUAUCCUAUUGACACUCUGUAAAUAUUUAUAAAAAUAUUUACGGCUCAGUUUAUGAUAUCGAGGUCUCGAUACCUCGUUUUUGACCCAAUUUACCUAAUAAUUUCUUUUAAAUCACAAAAUUCACUGAUUCAAAAAUAUUUCUAACUUUUUCAUCGAAUUUAGUGAUCUCAAAUCAUUGUUCUGACACUACUGAAAAUUGGGCUGUUACACUGACAUUCUAACUAAAGGUCUUAAUGUCAUAAGGUUCGAGCAUUUGAGAGGAAAAUUAGGUGUUUGCACCAUACUAACCAAGGAGGAUAUGAAGUUGGUCAGUAUGAAGCAAACACUCGACAGCAGGCAGGCCAUGAAGACCAAGCCAUGCAGGAGCUACUGAUGCAAGCUUAUUUUGCUCAUUUUGUAAUUUCUAGUCAAUGAAAUGUAAUUUAGUUCAUUUAGAACUAUGUUAGGUAGAUGAUUGAUGUAAUUUGCUAUCAUAUGAGCUGUUACUUCAGCUUUGCUUGUAUGCACAAGUUAAUUACUUCAAGUUUCAAUGUUUAGUGGUGUUAGGUAACCAUUAGGUGAAUGUUUACUAUUUUUGACAAGCUUAGAGCUUGAUUUAUGUAUUGGCAUUUUGCCACUGUUAAUUCUAUGAAUGAAUCAAGUUUUUUUCAUCAAAUACUCUCCAUUUUUCUAGCUUUUUCUUUUUUUUUAUUUUGCUCGAAUUCAUUUGUUUACUCAGCAAGCAUCGAGCCUUGUUGCACAAGACACUUGCCGAGUCUGUUAUUUCUGUUAGUGCACCAACAAUAUACAACAAUUAACCAUGUGAAGAUUAUAAGCAUAAUAUGUAUCCAGUCGACCCCUACCACAUGUAGAUGUACGUAAUUCAAAAUUAUGGUAUAUUGGGAUUACAAGCAUACUGGUCGCAAUUUGGUAAACAUUACAUCCAAGAUGUGAAAAAUAGAAUGUCAAUAAUGACAAUGAAUCAUAAAAAGAGGAAGAAAAUAAAUACAUACAAAUUUUACAUAGAAAUAUUUUCGGAAAAAAAUCAAAAUUCAUUAUGUUGAAUUCAAAUAAUACAAGAGGAGAGAUGAAUUGUAACACCCCUAACCCGUAUGCGUCAUCGAAUUAGGGUUAAGAGGCAAUACUAAUCAAAACAGAACUUAGAACAGACAUUCAAUAUAGUUCAAUAAUUUUAACGGUUACAUAUAAAUUGCUAGGUCUAAUAUUAAACAUGCAAAAUUUUAAACUUCUCUUUAAAAUUACAAUCCAGUUAAAGCAUAAGAAUAUAAGCCAUUUUCGUAUGGCUAUUAAUUUCAUAUACAAUAUAUCAAAGUACGACUUUCCAAAACAUUUAUCUAGCCUGUACAUGCCAUAAUUAAAAUUUAUACAUUUACUGUACUCAGACCAUUUUAUUUAUAGUCAAAUAUAUGUACCUUUCGAAAUGCAUUCAAUUGAAUAUAUAUAUUUAUACCAAACAACAUUACAACCAAAUGAAUAUAACCGAGCAUAUAUGUAUGUUAUACACAUAUCAUAUCCAACUGUGUAUGUAUACUCAUAAUAAACUUAUAACCAAAUACAAAUCUAAUACAUGUGACCGAAUGCAUCCUUCUUCAUCAAAUAAUUAUAAAUAGAGGUGUAUACAUUUCAAAUGCAUAUGUAGAUACUUAUCAAAUACAUAUACCGAAUAUUUAUACGUAUACAUUUAUCGACUGCAUAAAUCAAAAGCAUGUAUGUAUAUUUUACAAAUGCAUAGACCGAAUAUGUACAUAUUCAUUAAAGAUAACCAAAAUCAUAUAACUGUACACUUAAUCACAUACUUUAAACAGAUUCACUGGCACUUAGCCUGCUAGGCUUAAAGCCUGAUUCAGUACACCGGCACUUAGCCUGCUAGACAUAUAGUCUGAAAUGUUUCACCGGCAUUAAGCCUGCUAGACGUAAAGUUUGAUAUUGUUUCACCAGCAUUAAGCCUGCUAGACGUAAAGUCUGAAAUUAUUUCACCGGCAUUAAGCCUGCUAGACAUAUAGUCUGAAAUGUCUCACCGACAUUAAGCCUGCUAGACGUAAAGUCUGAUAUUGUUUCACUGGCAAUAAGCCUGCUAGGCGCUAAGCCUGAAAUCUCAAUUUCACAUACACAAAAUAAUUCCUCGAAAAAUUCUUAAUAGCAAACACAUGUUCGUUGUACUCCAUGUUCAAUCAUAAAAGAGUUUACAAAUCAUACUUUCAAUUCAAUUCAAGUAUUUAUAAAUUUAUAAACAUAUAUCUAUAAUCGAACCUCACAUAUGAAAAUAUAAGAUUUUAUAUCUUUAAUUCAAUCCAAGAACCUAUAUACGAAUAUACAUAUAGAUAUAUUCGAACUCUCAUGUACGUAUUUAACAUUUAUACCUUUAGCUAAAAUCAUAAACUAAUACAUGUAUAUACAUUUAUAUUCGAAUAUAUAUGUAUAUAUAUACACUGUAGAAGCCCAAAUUUGCUAGGCCCAUUGUCCAAAUAAAAUAAAAUACAACAAACCCAAAAUUCAAUCCCAACUGCCCAAACCUUAAGCCCAAACCUAAUAGCCAAUAACAAACUUUCAGCAGCAGAAAACCCUAGGGUUCCCUAACCCUAGGGCGCCACCCUAGCGCCGCAUGCCUCUGCCAAGGCUCCCUCACGCACUCCACCGCCACCGUCGCCAAUCGCCAGCCUUCCAUGCGCGUCUGACACCACCUGCAACACACAAAAGAAGAAGACAACAAACACAAUCCAAAUAGCAAACAAACAAAAAAUAGAAAUUAAGAAGUCGUGUGGAUCGGCUAUAAAAGCCUAGAAUAUCGCCCUUGUAUUUUUCUUCGAUUUUUCUUUAUAAAAGACGCAUACCAAAGAAUCAAAGGAGAAGAAAAGGUUGCCCAUUCGUGUUCUUCGUUUUUUUUCUCUGUCGAUUUAGUUUUUUUUUCUUUUUACGAAAUUGUUUUUAUCUUUUUUUAAAAAAAAACUAUUGAUAUAAAAAAAUAAAAAGGGAGAAGAGGGGUUACCUGAGCCGACCGGUAGCCCCGCCAUCGGUCUCUUCGCCGCUCUAGGAUCCGAACGCGGGGGAGGGCUAAGGACCCUUUUUCUUUUUUUCUCCGAUUUCUGGCUUUAGGGACUCGGCCUUUAAACGCGCUUCAAAGCGCUGGUCGAAGAGGCGUCUUCGCGCGACGCCGGCUGCCGAACACGGUGGCGCUACGGCGGCAAAUGUGGCCGGUUUCUGGGAUUGAUGAGAGUGGGGGAGGGAGAUUUCUGUUUUUUUUUAAAUGAAAUAGGAGAAAUGAAGUUUGUAAAAAAAAUUGGUUUAAAUAGCAACAAGGAAACGGCGUCAUUUCAAGAGUGGCGACCUGCAUGCGCGACCCAACCUACCAAGGGGAUCCGCGCGUUUCAUGAAAUGGGCUAUUUUCGCCCUUGGUCCUUCCUCGUUGUUGACUGUUUUAAUUUAGUCCUUUUGCUUGUUUGUUUGUUUUCUUUAAUUUGGCCCCACGCACUUUCUUCAUGUUUCAAUUUAGUCAGCGCGCGAUUGCUGUGCCUCAGGACUUGGGCAUAUUGCCCGAUAAGUCCUUCGCACUUUGCGCGUGCUUCAUUCCAUCCCCCGAACCUCUUAUUUGUGAAUUUGGCCCCAAAUUUUGGCCAGAUUUCAAUCUGAUCCUCGACCUUUUAAACCUCAAGUUUUUUAUUUUUUUAUUUUUUUUUCUUUUUUUAUUUCAUAUAUAUAUAUAUUUAAAAGUCAGUUUUAUUUAAUACUUGAUUUAAUAUUAUUUAUUUGUUUAUUUGUUCAUAUUUUAUUUAUUAUUUUAUUUGAAUAUAUUGGUUUGUGUAUUUUACUCUUGUUAUUAAUAUUACCCUAUCAUUUCAUUAUUUAUUUAUUUUGUUAUUUUUAAAUACUUUCAAAGUUCUACUAUUAUUAUUGUUGUGAUUAUUAUCGUUAAUAUUAUUAUUUACUGAUUCUUAUUUUUUUUAAAAAAUUAAACUUCAGAUUUUAUUAUAUACAUAUACAUACAUUUUUAACAUGCAUACACACAUAAUUUUUUCAAAUUUAUAUACAUGUAUGAAUAUACCUACUUCAAUAUAUAUCAUCUAUACUUUAUACUUUACAUAUGUGUACAUUUUUUUAUUUUUUUAUAAAUUCGUACACGUUUAUAUUUUUACAUUCUCAUAUAUAAUUUAUAUAUAACUCUUAAAUUUUUACAUAUAUGCAUACAUUUUGUAAAAUAUAUCUAUAUGUAAAUAUUUUAUAUAAACAUGUACUUAUUUUCACAUUUUUUAUAAUUUGUAUACAUCUCCAUACAUACCUAUAUCUUAUAAUUUAUAUAUUUAUUAUAUUUUGUAAUUUUAAAAUAUGUAUAAUAAAAACAUACAUGUUUUUAUUUUAUUUUAUUUUUCUUUUACUCGAUGUUUAUUUAUUAAUUUGCCUAUAUGUUCAUUAUUAUUUUAAAAGGACAUUUUAAUCCUAUUUGCUUAUUCAUUUGUUAUUAUGCGAUUGAUCCAACUCUUAUUUAUUUAUUUCAUUGUUAAUGUUUGUUCGUAUUAUUUAUCCUUAACUUGUUGCAUUCAUUAUUGUUUCGUCACACAUGUUAACACCAUACGUCAAAAGAAAAUUUUUUAAAUAAGGCAAUAUUUCGCGUUUGGAAAAUCGAGAAAACGUGCCCUAACGUGCUGGGUUUCGAUUUUUCGUUUGACCAAAUGGCCAAAUAUCCUUUUAAACUUUCAAAAUAAUGAAGGCAAUAUUCCGUAUUUGGAAAUUCGGGAAAGUCGUGCCCUAACUUACUAGGUUUCGAUUUUUCUCGCAUUGAAUCUAAAUAAUCGAAUAUCCUUUUAAAAUUGAAACAAAUGAGGUUUAAAGAAAAUAAAAGGCAAGCUUAUUCUCAAAAUACGAGGUGUCGUGUCCUAACUUACUGGAUGUGACAUCUUGCUAAUUCAAGAUAAGAAGGCCUUUUUCAUUUUAAUUUAUUCGAGUAAUUUUAAAAUAAUACAAUAUAAAGAGGGAUCGUAUUUUUAAAUUCUUUUCGAGUUUCUGAAUUUUCGACACCAAGACAUUAAGUAAUCAACUAGGUACCAAUUUUGGGCGUAUCGAGGGUGCUAAUCCUUCCUCGUACGUAACCGACUCCCGAACCCGUUUUUCUGAAUUUUGUGGACCAAAAUCGUUGUUUUAAUAAAAUCAAAUCGUUUAUUGAAAACAACCACUUUUUAAGGUGAUCCGAUCACACCUCAUCAAAAAAUAUUGGUGGCGACUCCCAUUUUCGUUUUCAUUUUCAAAAUCCAAGUCGACCCCGUUUUGUCAAAAAAAUGGUGUCAACAUACGUUAGACAUUCUUGUCUUUAUCUAAGUUCAUAAUUUAUUCAUGUAUAUAUACACAUAUAUAAUUUCUUAACUAAAUUUAAUACAAGAAAUUUACAUGUAUAUAUACACGCUUAAUCGAAAAUAACAUAUAUAUUUAAUUUCAUACCUAAGUUCAAUAUAAAAACAUAUAUAUGUACAUUCAUACAUAUUCAAAACUCCACAUGCAUACUUAACAUUCAUACCUUAAAAUAUAUUCAAGAUUUAUUCAAGUAUUUUCAUAUACAAUCGAACCCACAUAGACAUACUUAUUCAAAAUUACCUACACAAUUACAAUAUACUUACCUUUAAUUAAACCAAGAAUAUAUACAUGUAUAUACAUAUAUGUAUUCGAACCUUGUGUAUACAUAUAUAACCCUCACACAAUCAACUAAAUUCAAGAACAUAUACAUACAGAUACAUAUAUAAAUAUUCGAACAUUAUAUAUAUAUCUAUAUACCAUUCCUACUUUAACUUAAUUCAAAGAUUUAUAGAAGUAUAUACCUAUAUAUUCGAACAUUGUAUAUACAUAUAUACCAUUUAUACUUCAAUUUUUUUUUGAAUCAAAUUACUUUUAUUUAUAGCUCAGCAAAAAUACAUACAUACAUACAUACAUACAUACAUACUGAUUUGAUAACAUUAAAUAGCUAAUAGACUUACCUCGGACAGUGUAAAAUCGAAACCGGACGAUUAGUCGACGACUUUAACUUUUUCCGGAUCUAACUCCGAUUUCUUUGGUUCUUGAUCUUUAAUUAAGCAAGGAUAUGGCCAAACUUUAGAAAGCCAUAGUUGAGCUUCUUUUUGCUUAACAUUCGGCUUGGAGAAGAUGAUAAAAUCAUCUUUUCUUAAGUUAUUUUAACUAAUAUAUAUUUUAAUUACUUAAUGACUAAUUUAACCUUAGUUUAAUUAAUUAUAAAACAUAUAACUUAAGGGCAAUUUAGACCAUUGCAGCCCACUAACUAUUAAAUGGCCUAAUUUUCAUUUAUAACCCUUAUUUUUAAAAGACAACAACAAUUGGGUGCUUUUAAAUUUAACCCUUAAAUUUUUAUUUUACGCGAUUAAGCCCUUUUUAUCAAAUUGUGCACUCAAACGAUCAAAUUUUUAUACAAAAUUUUUACACAUAGUCAUUCACAUACUGCAAAUAUCAAAAAUAAUUUUAAAAUAUUUUUUGACUUGGAUUUGUGGUCCCGAAACCACUUUGUCCAAUUAGGGUCAAGAUCGGGUUGUUACAUGAAUACAUCUAUUUAUAGGUUUAAAAGCUUUAUUCUAAUUAAAGUCUAAUAGAAGUAAUGUAGUAAAGUUAAAACAUCUAAUUCUAAUCAAAUAUCAAAUAGAGGAACUACACUUCUAUACGGAUUCCACUUGUGCAACUUGUACUCUGCCCCCGCACCCCCGGUUGCGACCCUAGUCCAAUAUUUUUACUUACUGGGGAUCUACAAUGAGCUAUGUCUUUGCCCUCAUAAAUCUCCCUAUCUUGCCACUUAUAUUUUAUUUUAACAAGAAUUUGGGUCAUAUAACUCUAACAUAAGAGUACAAGUUGAGAUAUUUUUCAAAUACUGACCGUAAAAGGCCCAUCAGAUCGGUUCAGUCUAUUGAAUAUAUUCAACGUAUAAUUAUCUCAAACAGAAAAUGGUAGGAAACUAGGUAAGAAUCUAACGGAUACUAUGUUUAAAUUAAGAAAAAUCGCCUCAGUGCCAUCGCUAUGCCUAAAGUAAGUCAAGCAACGAGACAACUCUUUUAAGUCUUUUGAGGACAACGGGUUCAAAUGGGAGUUGUGGAUGUGAUUUACAUUGGUUGGAAAAUUGGAGCUUUGAAUCAAUGGUUAUAUAUCUACAUGAGGCCCAGCACAAAAGACCCAUCAACGUUUAAUUGUUUCAAUUUUGCUGUCAAAUUUGGCUGCUUCACCCACAGUUCUAUCAAUAUUAUGGCUUUCCUUCUUGUUUCCACCAACGCAAUGAUCGAACCUGUUGCGUCUUAAAAGAGUAGUUGUAUUGAGAGAAAGAAAUCUGAGCAAGAGGAUAAAAGGAUAAAAAGAGAGGAUAAGAAUCUACUUUUCCUCCUUAGUACAAUGACUCAUCAAGCUUUUAAAAAGUAAAGGUACAAUAAUUUACAUGACUCAGAAAAUAAGACAAAUGAUUCAGCAUCCUUUAAUCAGUAUCAUAAUUCGUGCUGAUGUUAGAGGUAAGGUUUAACUCUUCUACUUUUCUUUUCUUUUCCUCUCGUGCCCUAUAACAUUUCAGCUCCAGCUGUUCAAUUCUUUGCUCCAAAUCAAGUAUAUUUCUACCAUAUUUGAUUAAGUUUAUUUAUCAAGUAAUUCAGUUCUCACAUUCGAUUUCAAAUUCAAUUAUCUAUGUUUGUGAUUUGAUUGGAAUUCUUAAAAAUAAUAAUAAUAGUUAAGGAAAUUCAAGUGUUGCUCAAGUCCAACAUUAAGAUUUUUCUUUAUUCCAGUUCGCUAAACAGAUAGAACUACUCCAACUUAAACUUAAUUUAUGAUUGAAUUGAAUUUGAGUUCACUCAAACUUGAUUAAUAAAAAUGAUUGAGUUGAGUUUGAAUUUGGGUUUAAGUUUGAGUUUGAGUUCGAGUUCGGUUUCUUAUUUUAUUCAAUUUUUUUUCACGGUUGAUUGGGAAUGAGAUAUGUGGAAUGUCAUAUUUGACUAUGAUUGCUCAAUGAUUACCCCUUUGCCACAUGCUUUCAAACCUAAUGAGAUAUUUAUGUACUCUUAAUUUAUUUUCAAUUUACUUGUGUAAAAUGAUUUCCCAUGCAACAUUUUAUUAAUUGAAAUAUUCUACUUGACAAAUUUAUUCAGAGUGUGACAUAAUUGUCACUAAUUUGCAUAUUAAGAACAUGACAUAUUUAUCACAAAGAAUAUAGUUUACAAUUAUAUUGAUACACUAUUAAUAUUUAUCAAUUUCCACAAAGUUAAUAUUUGCAAAUAAGGAACUUAAGAAAUUUGUUCAUUUAAAUUUUAAAAAUAUUCACUAAUUAAUUUUCAUAAUUGAUGUUUUAAUUAUUUGGUAAUAGUGUUUUAUUUCAAUAAUUUCACCAAAUAAAAACUAAAGUAUUAUAAACAAAUAAAUAUUUAACAAUAAAAUGUGCCAUGAUCUUAUUUGUCAUUUUACACAUAUCAGCUAUCAGCUAUAUUUUACCAAACACUUUUAAAUAAAUCGCUAAUAGAAUUAGUUGGUCAAACCAGCCACAACAAUCAGCAAUCAAUUAUCAGUCAAUUACCAGUCAGGACUAUUAUAUAUUGAUAUGGAAACGGAAAGUAUUACUUUAAAUUAAAUCUUUUUUAUAAUUUUUUUUAGUAUACCAACAUAAUAACACAAAAAAAAAGUCCAUAUAUAUAUAUAUAUAUAUAUUCCUAGGAAAUUAAAUAUAUAUUCAAGAUUACAAAACUAUGGUAAAAAACGCAAUAUAUUAAAACUAACAUAUGACUAGGAAGCAGACCCCAACGAGCAGGGAGAGAAAAAUGGAGAGCUUUUUAUACCUUAGUCCUUCAAUCGAAGUCUGCGUUGCAAUUUGACCGUCUCCAAUGCCAUUGUCAAUCUGAUCCAAUCUCCCAGUUUAUUCACCAACUGAAAGUAUUUAUGUCUCCAAGACCUGCUAAUCAAUAAGGAACCGAAAACUCCCCAAAAUCCAACAAGAAAUCCAGCUAUCGUUCCAGUAACGAACCACAAAGGCUCAAAUAAUUCUUCAUCACUUUCAGCGAUAAUUUCAGUACCACCAUUGUUAGGUAGUUUUGGUGACUCAUCUCCAAGACAUUUGUUCAACGGGUCUCCGCACAAUCUCGAAUUCCCUGCAAAACAAGUAGCAUUGAAACUUUGCAAUUGAGUGCUUAAGGGAAUUUUUCCAGACAGAUUGUUGUUUGAUAAGUCCAAAACACUGAGAAAGGAUAUAUCAGACAUGCUCUCCGGAAUUACACCAGACAGAUUGUUUGUUGACAAAUCGAGUGAUUCCAAUGCCUUCAAUUGACCAAUCUCUUUAAUUAUGCUUCCUUUCAACAUAUUUCUUGAUAGAUUCAAAGUAAUUAACCCAUGUAGACUUGCUAUUUCUCGAGGGAUUUCCCCACUUAAUUUGUUGCACGACAAGUCAAUGGCUCUCAAUAAUCCAAGGGUUUUCCCAUAUUCUUGUUCCACACCUUUCCAUAUAACUAAUAGAUGAACAUUCAAGGUACGAGCAAAGAAAGCAGUAGUAUUGUUCUCUAUGUCAUAGACAUCAUUAUAAUAAUACGAGAACUGGAUCGUUGCUGCUGAGCUCCCAAGGUGAGCCAUGGUAGUCAAAUUGUUGAGGCACGAUGGAAUGGUUCCUGAUAUAUUGUUGAGAGAAAGAUCCAAUACUUGAAGAAACUGUUGGUGACAUAGACUUGAAGGUAUGUCACCGUGAAACUUAUUUGAUCGUAAACGUAGAACAAUCAAGUUCUCAAGUCUUUCUCCUAUCCAUGGUGGAAUGAUUCCAGUUAAUUUAUUUUCCCCCAGAUCCAAAAGUUUCAAUUCAGUACAACUUUUCAAGGAUUGAGGGAUUUCACCAUGCAAACUCGUGUUCCUUAAACGCAAUGAUUGCAGAGAGCCCAAUGAAGUAGGGAUUACCCCUGACAAAUUAUUGUUCUCCAAAUUGAUUAUGGUUAAACUCAAACUUUUGAUCCAACAAUCUGGAAUGCCUCCCGACAACAAAUUGUUAGAGAGGUCAAGAUUAGACAAACCACUAUCCUUAUUUGUGCAUAAAAAUGACAACGAUCCAUUGAACAUGUUGUUGGAUAGAUCUAACGUUGUCGACUUAGACAAAAAUUGAGGUAUGGGACCAUGAAAAAGAUUUGAACUCAAAUCUAUCAAAGAGAUACGAUCAAAUUUUAAAGGCAGGUUUGGAACUCUCCCGCUGAUUUGGUUGAAGGAAAGGUCCAAAAACAUUAGCCUCGAAGGCAGAUUCCAAAACCAGUAUGGGAUGUUGUCUGAAAUGUUGGAAUGAGAGAUAUCUAGAUGGUAGAAAUUUGUUUGAUUUCUAAGCCAACUAGGAAAUUGGGGUCCAAGCUUGCAGGAACUCAUUUCAAUAAAAUCAAGUUGAAACGGAGGUGUCCAAUUAGAGCUAAGAUUGAAAGACAAAGCAUUAAAGGAUAUCGAAAGAUACCGUAAUUUGGUAAGAUUAAAUAGGUGGGCUUCGGAAAUGACAUCAUGCAAAGAGUUGUUGGAAACAUCCAAGAGCACCAGUUGAGACAAUUUGCCGAUGUUGACAGGAAGGAGACCCUCGAAUCGGUUUCCUCUAAGAGAUAAUUCUCUCAAAGAUGACAAUCUUAAAAGAUCAGGCAAUGGCCCAGUGAAUCCAUUUUCAUCUAAAUUCAAAACAUUGAGCUUUGAAAAGUCUCCAAAGUUGUCUUCGAAAUGCCCGCUCAAUUGGUUAGAUCCAACAUCUAAUUCUCUCAAAGAUGAAAAUGGUACGAAGCUGGGCAAGGAUCCAUUGAAAUGGUUAAAAUCCAACUUCAAAACCUCCAGAGAAUCAUUGGCACAUCCACUCAAGUUCUUCACAGCAAAGGUGAGAGGUCCACUGAGCUUGUUUUCCCUUAAGUUUAAUUCUUUUAAAUGGCAGAGAUUCCCCAAUGACUUUGGUAUUCCACCUUCGAGACUAUUAAGAUCGAAAUUAAUUCGCUCCAGAGCUGGCAUGUUGUCAAAAGAAUCCGGAAUCAAACUCGAUAAUUGAUUAUGAUGGAGAUCGAGUUCAACCAAGUUUCGACUUAUAUUCAGCAACAGAGGAAAAGUCGAAGGAUGCAAACUAGAAGACCAAAUCAGGUGAAGAACAGAUAAAGAGUUUGAGGAAUUAAAAUGGACAAGAGAUGAAGGAUCAACCUCCGCAAAGUCACAAUAUCCAAAGUGUAUAACUGAGAGGGAAGGAUGAGAUUGAAUAACCUGUAGCCAGUUUGUAGCUUUUGUAAAAUUGGUGUAACUGAUUUUCAGCAAUUGCAAAGAAGAAAGAUGGGAAAGCCAUUCAAGGUUGUCGGAUAUCAAAGAUUGAUUAAUAUCAUAGGAACUGAGAUCAAGAUAAACUAGCCUGGAAAGGUUCCCAAGCUGGAGAGGAAUGAAGCCCGUAAGAGGAUUUGAUGAGAGAUUGAGGUAUGUGAGGUCAGAAAGUGAACCAAUGAAGUCUGGGAUCUGGUAGAAGCGAUUUAAAGAGAGGUCCAAGUGACUCAAGUGCUUUAACUCAAGCAAGGAAGUGCCAAUCACACCUGAAAUUUCCGUCCAUCUGCUACCGUAAGUGAUUCUGGGACGGAGGUCCAGCAUGACAACAUGGCCGGUCGUGUUGUCGCAGCCGACACCUUUCCAUUUGCAACACUCUUCUUCUUUGCUUGUCCAUGAAACUAGGAGGUUUAGGCUAUUGUCGUAAUCAAUAAGACCUUUCUUGAAAUCAAGGAGAGCUCGUCUCUCUGCUGCAAUGCACCUCACACUCUGAUUUUUUACACUGAUGCCAAAACUAGCAGUAAUCAGUGCAAACAGAAGCGCAAGCCAUAGGUGAAAAUGAAAAUGAAGUCCUCUUCCUCUCAUGAAGAUGGAAAAUAAUGGCUCUGAAAAGAUGGUUCCAAAGAAAAUGUAUAGCUAAUAAGUACUCCGUUUAUCCGCAUAGCUUCUUAAAUAAAAAUAAAUUUGCCCCACUCAUCACGGCCGUUGCUAUCCCAAACCAAGUCAAGAAAAUAGCCAUGUCGGUAAGUUUGAGGAGAAGGGGCCGCCCCCCUAGGCCUAGAAUCCACACGUUUGAAACAGGAAUUGCAGAUAUAAAUUCCUGGAAUGUGUCCACUGUCCUCCAAAAAAUUACCCAACGACUAUUAAUAAUCAACAUUCUGACUUUCCUUCUUGUUUCCUGGAAAUUACUAAGGAAUAAGGAGAGCGAACGAGCUAUUGUUCCUCAAACGCAAUGAUCCAACCUGCUUUAUCUUUAAAAAAUGUUUAUACUUGAAUAAUCUACUUUGAAAUUAUGGUAUAUAGGCUAAAUUUAAUGAAUAUGCCGAACAUGGAGAAAAAUUAUGGAAAUGAGCCACUUUCUGCCUCAGGAUAUUUAGAGAAAAAGUUGAUUUUGGAGACAGAAAUUAAAAAUGCAUUAACUUUUUCGGGAUAGUUUGAUUUUUGAGUCCUGGGUUUGAUUUCUCUUCUACUUAUGUUUGUAUUUUUUAUUUCAUAUUAGUUUAAGCUUUUUUUUACUUUUAAUUAUUAUUUUUAACACGUGAGUUGCUUUGGUUAGAUGGUUAAAUAAUGGUGAUUUUAUUUUUAAGUCCUAGGUUUGAUUCCUCUUCUAGGCAUAUUUGUAUUUUUUUUGUUUUAUGUUGUUUCAAGUUUUUUUUAAUUAAUAAAUAUUUUUUAUUUUUAAUUAAUAACUCUUGUAUUUAUAAAAUCAAAUAAUAAAUAUGUAGUUAUAUAAUAAAUAUAUAUUUACAUAUAUCAUUAUGUUAAAAAUAUUUGAAAUUAAUAUUUAUAUAUAAUAUAAACAUCAACUAAAUUUUUUGAUAUAUUUUUCUUUAUAUAUAAUAUUUAUCCUCUCCCUAUAUAUUGUGGAUAUGGUGAUUUCUAAUAUUAUAAAAUGAAAUAAUUAUUUCAAAUAUAAUUAUUUUUAUACGUAAAAUAUUUCAAAUAUCAUUGUUUUUUCAUCUAUAAGGUAUGAGAUUUCAAAUAUUUUUAUAUGUGAAAUAUUUUAAUUAAUUAUUUCAAAUAUAAUUAUAUUUAUAUGUGAAAUAUUUCAAAUACACAUAUAAAAAUAUAUAAUAAUAAAAUUUACUACACUCGUGAUAUGGAUUGAAAAAUAAAUAUUACAAAUAUAAAAAUUAUAUUUAUUAAAAAUAAUGACAUUUGCAAUAACUAUUUGGUUUUAUAAAUAAAAGAGUUAUUAAUUAAAAAAUGAAUUAAAAAUAAAAAACUUGACAAUAUAUUUAUUAAUUAAAAACAUUUUUAACAUAGAAGUUAUGAAUUAAAAAUAAAAAAACUUGAAAAACAAUAUAUUUUUUAAUUAAAAAAAUUAAUUAAAAAUUAAAAAAAAGCUUGAAAUAGCAUGAAAUAAAUACAAAUAUGCUUAGAAGAGGAACCAAACCUAGGUCUCAAUGAAAUCGCUAUUAUUUAAUCAUCUAACUAGAGGAGUUAAUAUGUUAAAAACAUUAUUUAAAAAAAGAGUUUGAAAUAAUAUGAAGUAAAAAAAUAUAUAAAUAUGAGUAGGAGAGGUAUUGAAUCCGAGACUCAAAGACAAAACCACUAAUAUUUAAUCAAAAAAGUUAAUGUGUAAAAAAAGUCAAAAAACAUGUGUUGUAGAACAUGUUUUCAGCAUACAACGCGUCCAGACUUUCUUUCUCCAAAAUCGGUUUAUUUUUCUAAAUAUCCCAAAAAAAUGUCCUAUUUCCUUCUUCUUCUUCUUUUUUUAUGUUCAGCAUAUUCAUCAAUUUUAGCCGAGGGAUUACAUGCAUAAUUUAGCAAGGAAAUGGAAUUUGAGCCGGCUCUCAACUUGAAAUUAUUGCCCCUUGUGUCAUAAGAUAAUCAUACAUCAACUUGAUCGUUGCUUCUGAGCUCUCAAGGUGAGCCAUGGUGAUCAAAUUAUUGAGGCAUGAUGGAAUGGUUUUUGAUAUAUUGUUGAGAGAGAUACAAUACAUGAAGGAAUUGUUGGUGACAUAUGUCACCAUGAAACUUAUUUAAUCGAAGACGUGGAACAAUCAACUUCUUAAAACUUUCUCUUAUUCAUGUGAGGGAUGAUUCUAUUUAAUUUAUUUUUCUUCGGAGUUAGUGUCAAUUGAGUACAAUUUUUUGGGAUUGAGGGGUUUUAUCGUGUAAACUUAUACUAAUUGAACUUGUUAUAUUUAUGAACUUUAUAAUUAGUCAUGUGAAAGGAUGUAAAAUAAAAUAUGCACAAAAGCAAUAAUGCAUGCACCAACUAUAUUCUGUGCCGAAUCUAGAGGGGGGUUGGCGUGGGCCUCGACCCCCCCUAAAAUUUAAAAUUAUUAUUUAAGUCUUUAAAUUUUUUAAAAAAUUUUAAAUUAAUAAAGGUAAAAUUGUACUUUGGCACUCUUAAAAUUAUAAAAAUUUGAUUUAAUCUUUUAAAAAUUAUAAAGAUAUAGACUAUAAAAAAUAAAAAUUUCAUUCGGCCCUUCUAAAAGAUUGUUCUGGCUUCGCCCUUGACUAUAUAUAUUUUAAUUUUGUUGAUUUGAUUCCCACUUUCUUUUUAUUUUUAGAACAUAAUUCUCACUUUCUUUAUUUGAUGUAAAUUCACAAUAUAAAUUCUAUGAUAAGUUUAGAACUAUUAUCUGUCCAUUACAGCAUGUUAUUAUAGAGAGGAGUGACUUGACCUUUAUAGUUCAAAACUCAACGAAUUCCCUUAUAUGCUCUUUUUGCUGAAAAGGGUUAAAUCACUAUUUGAGACUUGAAGUUAACAACUAUUCUCACAUUGGGUCUAAUUUUUUUUUAAAUUAGUCCUUAAACUUUGCAAUUAAUCCUAUAUUGAGACUUGAACUUUUUGUUCAAGUUAGCCCCUAAACUUGUUAAUUAUUCCCAUAUUGAGGCUUAAACUUUUUUUGUUCAAGUUAGCCCCUGAACUAGUUAAUUAUUCCCAUAUUGAGGCUUGAACUUUAGAGUUUUCAAGAAAAUAUCAAGGAUCAACUUGAGAAAAAAACUUAAACCCUAAUCUGAGGAUAAUUGUCAAGUUUAAACCCAAAAAGUGAUUUAACUCAACUAAAAAUGGUAAUGUUGUAUGAUUUAAGCGUCAUUGACAUGAGCAAGUGCAUUGAUCUUGCAUUUUGCUCUGUUCAAUUAUUAUUUUUUAGCCAAAUAUGAAUUUAUUUACUCAUCCGAUAAGGAGUUUCAAGGUUGAGAAACAGAGUUCCUUUUACAUUAUUCGUCAACAAAUAAAAGCAGUGUAAAAUCAAGACUAAGCACAAGAAAUCCGGAUUGUGAUGCAUUCAUCACACCAAAAUAAUAUUAGUCCAGUACUUGUUCAUCAUCCAAAUUCCAGUUUUCAAUAGGUUCUCAUCUUAGUUUCUUUUUUGUAAAGUUAUCUACAUAUGGAAAUUCGGAACACAGGUAAUGUUUUUCCACAGCAUUAACAGGCCUACUCGUUGUCGCCAUCACCGUCGGGAUCGAAAUCUCUAAUCUUCACAUCAGCAUCUUCGCCAUAUUGAAUGCAGUUGUCAAUUUGAGCCAAUACAUAUUGUAUGCUGUAAAAGUAGAACAUUUCACCAUUAUCAAUGAUAAAAACAAAAAGAACAUAAUUUGUCAAGCAUAAGCACUCCCAAGAACAUGGUGUUCUUUACGAAAUCAUUUCUAAGACAAGAAGCUUACAAAAAAUAUAGUUCUCGAAAGCAAUGUCACCAUCCUAUUGUUUUAAUCUUUUCAUUUAAAACUUAAAUUAUUAUGCUAAGUUACUAUGUUACUCAUACUAAGGUAUGUGAGUGUCAGAUAAUGGCAUGUGUUUGACACGGGUAUGUAUAUAGAGAAAGAAUAUACCUGCUUUCCUUCCUCAAGUCGAGGGGAAUAAAGCUCACCAUGCUAUAUUCAUCCACCUAACAUACAACAAAACAAUGAUGUGACAAGUUUUAACAUGAUAUAUAACAAACCCAAGCAAACAAUUUUAAGACUUUGUAUGAAUCCUAUGAAAAUGUGAAGAAUUACAUGCAAAAGAGUGCAAAUGAAACCUUGCAACAAAUAAAACAAUGUUUGAUGUAUUCACUUAACUGGAACUAAAUAAUGCAACUUUAUUGGCAACCACCAAUAGAAAAAGCCACAUUAAUGGUAUGAUCAUAUAAUAAUUGAAACGAGCUUGUAAGCAUUCCAAGAGACUCCAAAUAGCCAACCAAAGUUAUCUUACCAGUUCAAUCAAAGAUUUGUUUAGCUUUUUAAACCGAGGAGCCAUCCGUUCAUUCAACUCUGACAGUAAAUGAUGAGGCUCUGGAUCCAAGUAGCUAUGAAUAACAAAGACAUUGAUUAAGAAAAGAAAAUGAAAUAUAUGAAAGGAAAAAAAAAUGGACUGCAGGCUGGAGAAGAGUGGCGUAAAAGAAACCAAUACUAACUUUUCGACAUCCCUCUUGUUUGUUACAAGGUCCAUCUUGGAGAGGAUAUUAAUAUGUGGUACUUCAAGCUGGACCAUUGCAGAAAGUGAUGCCAUGCAUCCACUUACGUACUUAGUAACAUCUGUGAUAAACUGGUGCAAAUUCAAAUAGUUAGAGAUGGUAAAUGCCAUAACCAAUUAUAGAGACAUGCCAACUAAAUUUGAAUAGCAGACAGGCAUGCUGAAAGAUGCAGAGCUGAGACAAACCUGGGAAUCAAGCAAGUAUACAGCACACACAUUAAAGUUCUUGCGCUUCAAGUGCUCUACAAAGUUACGGAGCACUGGUACAUGUGAAAAAAGUUCUAUUUGGCCUAUAAAAUGACUGAAGGUUAGCAAAAUUUAUUCCCAUUUCUAGUACACUUCAACAAAUUAUAUCACAGCAGAAAGCCUAAUUCAGUAACGUAAGACCCCCAGUGUAAACCGUUGCCAAGGUAAAAGCUAAAGAAGUUGAAAAUACUUUUCCAGCUUUUGCUGACAAGAUACUAACAUACGCAUCCAAGCAAAAGAGAUACCUGGACAAUCAAAUACCAGAUAGUCGUCAUCCAAGUAAUUGUCCAAUUCUUCAUUCAGCCAAUCAUCAAGAUUAUCUUCAAGAUGUCUGGUUGGAGAUUAAGGUUUACAUUUUCGCUCCCAAAAUCUAACAAAGAAAGGAAUAAAAUGCAGAUCUUCAUAUGAUAGAAUACAAAGCUAAGGACAUUGGCAAGAUGAAUAAAAAUGAAAAUCCCACUGAUAAAGCAAGACAAGAAUAAAAGGAAAGGAUACUCCAUGCAGUAUAUAAGGCCACCAUUUGGACCCAAGCCAAGCUCCUCCAUCACAUCAUCCAAACUAAUGAGUUCUCGUAUAUCUACAAACCAACAAAACUCCAUUGCAACAAAACCAGAGGGGAAAAAAAAGAAAGAAAAGAAGUUAAAAGCAGUGAGAAUCAUUCAAGCAGAAGGUUGAUUACCCAUGGCUACAGGAUAGUCGAAAUUUUCUGCAGCAGGAUCUAGGUUCACAAUAUGUAUUGACCGUCCAAGGGUUUCGCAAUGCUGGUACAGGCUAGAGCAGUAGGUUGACUGAUUCCAAAAACACAAAGUCACUUUAGCAUAAAUAAGCAAUGCCAAUAAAAACCAACUGGCUAAGCAGACCAAAGACUGCACAGACUAAACCAGGAAAACCCAAGGUAGAUAAUCCUCAUUCCAAACCCUUGAAUGGAAUAGUUGAUAGACUAACUCACCUUGCCACUGCCUGCAGGACCAAUAACCAAUUGUGCAUAACCCAUGAUAGCUUUUCCCACUUAUCAACCUUCUUCACUAACUCAGAACGAACACAAGGAAUUGACUAUCCGGAACGAUGCAAGAAUCGCGACAGUAACAUAUGCAGUACACCACACACCAACAGCAAACAACAAAAUCAAGAAAUCAGAAUGGCCCAUAAGCAGUGGUGAUAGAGAAACACAACAUCACAUAACCUGAAUUAUCAAUACCAAAGAGAAAACUGGAAUCACAUUCUGAUUACAUUACCCAAAUAUGUAAGAAGAAAGAAACCCCAUCAUAAGAUUUAAAUAUUAAUAAAAAUGUAAAUUAAACAAUAAAAAAAACAUGAAUUUUGGAUAGAGUUGACCGCUACAAAUUCAGCAAUUGGCAUAAUAACAAAUGAAACCAGCUUCAUCCAGUUCAUUAUAUGUAGAAAAUUUGUGUACUAACACAAAACCCAAAAAAACCCAUAAACGAAAGUGCAGAAUAUAAUCAUAUUAAAACCAAAUAAGAGAAAAAUUAUUGACUAACUGAUUUUCCUCUCAUAAUAAUCUUUUAAUCAUUGAAGAACAGCUACAUAAUUGAAAAAAGCAAGACGUGCAAAUAGUUCCCCAAAAUGAAUCGUAGAAAAAGGGAAUAUAUAUUAUUAAGGUUAAAAACCAGAAGAUUACCUGAAAUCGUGAAUGCUAAUUUUCUACAAUGGACACUGAAAGAAAGGAGAAGACUUUGAAGACCAGGCUUGGGACACAGGCACUCAGGUUUUAGCCUUUUAGGGCUUUGCAUUCGAUUGUUUAGAAGCUAAACGACAACGUUUUUGGUGAAAAUGACCAAAACUUUUUUUUAUUAAAAAAGGUUAAUAGACUAAAUAAGCCCUUGAAAUUUAUCAAUUUAUUUAAAUAAACCCUUAUAUUUUUAUACAUCCAAAUAAGCUUUAAACUUUAAUUGGUAUUCACUCAAAUAACCUCUUCACCUUUAACUUGUGUUUCUUAUUUUUCUCUUUAUACCUUUGGAUAUAAUUGUGUAAAAAUUUAUAUUAUUUUUUAUGUUGAAAUCAUGUAUUAUAGAUGUUUUACUUCACUCAUAGACCUUUUCAUAAAUAAUUAAGUCAUCGAUUCUUAAGGCAAGAAAUUUGGUAGAGAUAAUAUAUGAUUAUAAAUCUCAACAUAACUUUUAAAAAAAUCCAGAAAUAAAAUUUCAAUUAAAGACUAUAUUAUGGAGGUUUUUAUGUUAUGAGUCGGGUUGUAUUUUGUCUUUUCUAUAUAAAAAAUGAGUAAAUUAGUCCAUGUACAUUAGAUUAAAGAGUAAAUUGGUCCUCUUAUUAAAAAUUUCAUCCACUUCUAUUGUUAAAAAUUGUUCCUUAUAUGUUAGAAUAAGGCACACGUGGCAUGACACAUGUACCUGUUUGAUUAUUUUGUCAAACAUGUCAGUUUUUAACGAUAGGAAUGGAUGAAAUUUUUAACAGAAAAGAUCAGUUUACUCUGUAAUCUAAUGUAUGAGAAUUAAUUUGCUCAUUUUUUUAGUAAAAGGGAUAAAUACCACUUGACUCCUAAUAUAACGACCUUCAUGAUACUUUUACUGAUUGUCUUCUAUAUUAUUUAUAGCGAUGACUCAUUUUUUUUCUCUUCAAUCAAAUUAUAUAAUUAAUUUUGUUGUAGAGUAAAAGCUCAAAAUUUAAUCAAAUCAAUGUAAUCAAAGUAGCAAUUGCUGAAAUGGUGGUGUGUUAUAGUUCAAGUAUUGUCCUGGAGUGUCUAUACGGUAUAAGUAAGAAGUUCGAGCUUUAUCAUAUAUAAACUUUUCAAUCAUUAUAAGACAUCUCGUUUUAUGAACACACUGCCUAUAUAAAAACUUGGACCUUUAAUAGAAUCAAAAGACAAAAUUUCAAAACUAAACAGAGCACAGACAUUUCGAAAACAUAAUACCUAACAAACAACAUUUUACAAAAGUGUCCGAGAAAAAUGAUAUUACCUCCAAAUCUGCACCCUAUUUUUUAUCAGACGUUAUUAUGUUCUUCAUUCUUCUCUCUCUCCUGUUUUGUGCUAAGUGUCUUGGGGAACUGACCAAAGAACAUAUAGAAGGCAAAUUCAGCCAUUGAUGGAUGUUUCAAUGCAAGGUAUAAGAUUCGACCUAAUAUAGAAUUGCUAGUAUCAUGCAAAACUUUGAUCUUUCUUUUCUCAAGUGUUAUUUGUAUCGUGCUGGGUGACUAUGCAUGUGCACAUAGCUCUAGUCUGGUCAUUUAGAGAAAAAACCCCAGUUCUAAAUAAGGUUUGCAGCAUUUGUCUAUAGAAAGAAUAAGCAUAGUAUGUGGCUGUUACAUUAUCCGCUAUGUUCUUUUAAGAACUGAUUUGUUUGUUGAAGCUUUAAGACCGGUCAAUGUUUGGAAGAUUUUAAAUAAUGAUAUUAGGCCUCUUGACUAAUUUUUUUGUGUGUCACUAAAGAGAUAUUAAGGUAUUUAUACAUAUUGUUGCUGUUUAUGAUUUUACUCCACUAUUUAUGGACUUGACCCUACUAUUCAUAGGACUGACAUUCUGAGCAGACCUCGAGUAUGAUGGACACGUGUAUUGUUCUGGGUCACAUGAUAAACCUUGCAGCCCAUCACAUGCGAACUUCUUGGGUAUGUGCAAACUGAGACCACAAACUCUCUUCGACUCGUACGAGUUGAUACCACGAGCUCCCCUGGCUGUCCUCUCGCUAUAUGUCUCGCACACAUCCAUCUGGUGAGGCCGAUUCGAGUCGCGGUAGGCAACCAAAAUUUUAUUUGGUUUUCAGGUUAGUGAUCAUUGAUGUAUAACAAUGCCCAAAAAUAGUUUUUUUAUUUAUUGAAAAUAUGAGUUAAGUUUUUUGUCUACAAUAUUUAAAAUUUAAGUCAAGUUUGUUAUCCUAAUUUAUAAUAUGUUAUUUUUUAUAUAUAUUAUAUAAAAAUUGAAUGUAAAGUAUUAUAAUCUAAAUAUUAAAAAAUUUUAAGUUGUUUACAUCUAUAAUUUUAAUAAAAGAAAAAAAAGGUAUAUAGUGAACAUUAAAUUAAAAAUUAACAUAGAUAUAUUUUCAAAAAAUUAGAAGUAUAUAUCUGCAUAUCUAAAUGGAUUUAAAUUAGCUAUUCAUAAAUAUGUAUUGGUUUGAACAAAAUUUGAAUUUAUAUUUUAAGUCAAGUUGAAUUAGUUGAUAAUGUAUACUUUUGACAUCAUAUUAGAGUAGAACCAAAAAGUAAGCAAGGACCUGAUCGUUUAAAAUAGAGAAAGAUUCUUUUAAAUCCUCUAAACUCUAUAAAAUUAUAAAUAAAUAUAUGAAAUAUUAUAUUUCAACCUAAAUUUAUAAUUUUAUUUUCGAAAAAAGAAGGAGCAACUCUUAACACUACAAGUUUGCAAACCCUUAAUAGGAAGGGCUUCGGUCACCGUUAAAAUAGAAAAUUUUCUAUUUAAAUCAUUUAUAAUUUAUAAAAUUUUAAAUUAUUAAUAGUAAAAUUAAACUUUAACCUCCAAAAAUAUUAAAAAAUUUAUUUAAUCAUUUAAAAUUUAUAAAGAUAUAUACCCUUAAAAUAAUAAAUUAUAUUUUUACUAUCAUUGAACUAUAUUAUUUAAUUACGACAACAUAAAAAUAUUUUUUUACUCCGCACAUCAACUAAAACCAAAUGAGAAAGGCAGUACUAUGAACACCCCAUUUGUCCAGCCAGUCAACGACAAUUUUUUUGUCUCGAAGCAUAGCAAAGUGAGCAACUCCAACUUCGGUCCAUCACCUUACCAGCUGCCAUGGCCAGUCCAGCUCUCCCACUCCCAAUCCCACCUCUAACUGAUUGAUCCCCUUACUCCAAGCCAGUUCUAGGCCGUGAUAUAAGCCCAAUAAUUUAGCAAACUCUAUGUUACAGUUACCAUGACUGCUACCAAACCCCACAAUCCAAUUACCAUGACAGUCUCGUAUUACUCCUCCAGAACCAGCACGGUGAUGAACUUGAUCCCAACUUCCAUCAACAUUAAGCUUAUAACAACCCUCCCGAAGCUUCUCUUAACUCAACAGUAGCUCGUCUCUCUUCACUGCACCACUCACGACAGAAUUGGCAGCUACAUGUUCCUGCAAGAGGUGCACUAGGCCAGCAAGCUUGCAAGCAGUCGAAAAGGGUUCAUUCCCCAUGAAAAAAUAAUCCGUAGAUAAAAUUAUGAUUUAAUCUUUAUAAAACUAUAAAAUUGCAUUUUAAAUCUCAUGAAAAAAAAUAUUCUAACUUCAUCCUUACAACCAUUCAUAAGUUCUGCCCGACUCAUAUAUACUUCUAGUAGAUGAAUGAAUGACCCUAAUAAAUAUGUCAUCAAAGAAAUUGAUAGUUCUCUAUUAGCUAACAUCACAAAAAACCCAAAGCUGUAUUUUGUAGUUUACCCUAAACCUUUUAUUUGUGGAAAAAUAUAGUGUGAAAAGAGAAGUCAAUUGAAGUUGAAAUUAGUCUUUGAUACUGUUCAGCAAAAUCGUGUUGAGGACCCCACUUCAUAUUUGAGCUUUGGAUAUUCCUUUGCUUUUAUAAUUGCCCUAUAUAGUUCCUUCAUGUUCAUGUCCCCAUCAAUCCCAAGAAUAAUCUUCAACUUUUAUCCUUUUUUUUCAUUGUUUUUUCAAUACAAAUAGUUUUUCUUUUUACAGAAAAUGAUUGUGUCCUUAAUAUCCUCAAUCAUAUUUCAAAAAGAAAAAAAAAGCAAUCAUAUUUCUUGCUUUAUUGCAUGGUUAAGAAUUAUGCAAGAUACAACUUGAUCAUUCCACUUUCACUUUCCUUUUCUUUUUUCUUUUUAUUAAGCAUCCUAUAAAGUUUGCCUUCAAAAUUUCUUGCCAUGAAUUGCCCUUAAAAGAUGCUUUUUGUAGUGAAGGAAAAAAAAAUAGAUGCAUAAAACUAAAAGUAAUAAAGAGAUUUUUAUAUUCAAAUUGCAUUUUGUCUUUUUUACUUAAAAAUGAAUAAAUUAAUUUCUAUACAUUAGAUUAAAGAACAAACAAAUCCUCUCUUUUAAAAAUGUCAUCCAUACUAUUAAAAACUGGCUUAGCUCGUGGAAUAAUUAGAUAAUUACACGUGGCGUAUCAUACGUACCUCAUGGUGACAUAUAUGAACCAAUUUUUAAUGGUAAAAAUAAAUGAAAGUUUCAACAGAAUGGCUGGUUUGCUCUUUGAUCUAUCAUAUAAGGACUAAUUUGUCAAUUUUUUAGUAGAGAAGACAAAAUGCAAUCUAACUACUAGUAUAAAGGCCUCCAUGAUACUUUUACCAUGCAUAAACCAACUAAAUUAAACUAGUUUUAAGAUAUUUGUUUUAGGCUAAAUAGGCUAAAUAUGUCGAUUUAUUUUUAAUUGGCCAAUUAUGUCGUUUUUUUUCAAAAUUUAAGGAAAUAGGCCGAUUUUGGAGAGAGAGUGUGUAAAAUCGCAUCUAGCUGGAAGCGUUUUCUAAAAAUUCCAUAGAAAACACAUCCAGCUAGAUGAGCUUUCACACACUCUCUCCAAAAUCGACUUAUUUCUCUAAAUCUUGAAAAAACACUUAUUAUAUUGCCUAUUUAGCCUUUGUUUCAGCCUAAAUUGCAGGGGAACCUUGGGGAGCUGACAAGCUCCUUAAAAUAGAAAUACUACUUUUGAUCCUUUAAAUUUUAUAAAAUAUUAAGUUAGUACAUGGUAAAAUUAUAUUUUAAUUUUCAAAAAAUAAUAAAAUUUUAAUUUAAUAUUUUAAAAAUUAUAAAAAUAUAAACUAAUCUCAUAAAAAUACAUAGCUUAAUUCCAUCCUAACCUUCACCCAUAAUUUAUAAAUUCGGGGUAAUUUAAAUUUAUAUAUACUAACGAACCAUCUUCAUCUGAACCCAAAAUGAGUACAAUGAAAAAAAAAAAAACUCUAGCCUAGUUCCUAAUGAAUUUUACUUUAUUUGAUUUAGAUGGGUCUAUUAUUCUAUUUGCUAGGUUGAUUUAAUUGUCAAACUUGACUGGCUAUAAGCUCUAGGUUUUGCCACAAAGUAUUUGAUUAAUUGCCCAAAAGAAAAACAUAGUGUCAAUAUCAUAUCAUAUCAUAAUAUAUUUAUGUGUGCAAAUUUUUUAAUGAAAUAGUUUGAUAUGAUAUCGUAAUUAAAGAUAAGGGCUUGCAUGCACUAAUGACUUUUUCGACAUCUAAAUUUAACUUUUGUUAGGGGAAGAGAAGACACAUUUUCAAAUGCUUUUGGUAUUUUCUUAUUUAUAAAUUAUAAAAUUGGAAAGAAAAAAAAAGUCCAUAAAGAAAAAGGAUAAAAGUCACUGAGAUUUGAAAAUUUGGGAAAAAAACUAAAAAAGACAAUGUGGGGUGAAAAGGGUUUUUUGAAAUCAUUUAUGUCAAUUAUUCAUUUUUGAAAUUAAGUAUAUAUUUGGUAUGAAUAUACUAAUUUGAAUAAUUUAUAUUAGUAGUUAUUUAAUUAGUAAAUUUUUUUAUCACUCAAUUAUGAAAAGUUAUAAAAUAGUCAUUCAACUAUUAGUAGAUUUUUUUUUCAAUCCCUCGACUAUAAAAAGUUACAAAAUGGUUACUUAACUAUUCAACUUUUUUUUUUUGGUCACCCAACUAUCUUAAAUUUUAGAAUGCUUUUAUUUUAACAUUAGCCAACUGAUGACAAAAAAAAUAAAUUUAAAUAAUUAAGUGACUGUUUUAUAACUUUUUUGAAUUAUAAAAGAAAUACUAAUAAUUAAAUGACCAUUUCUUAACUUUUAAUACCUUAGCGAUUACUAAUUUUAAAAUGCCAUAUAAUUAUGUUGAAUCCAACCUGGUUUGGUUAAAGAUGUUAAAUGGCAGAUCUUAAUUAGCUUUAUUAUUCAUUUAAUUGGGGAUUGAAUUUACUACUUUUGUUGGAAAUUAUACCCUUUUGCUCUGCUUUAUUUACAUACAUGUAUACCUAAAAUAUAAAGUAUAGACUAUUAGAUUAUUGAAAUUAUAGCCUUCUUUUUUAUUUGCUUUGCAUACAUGAUAUGUACCCAAAACUUCAUCAUAUGCAUCUCAUGGAUUUUUUUAAUUCUAUCCUAUAUUCAAAUUAAUCCAAAAUCAAAAUCGAAUCGAAAUGUUACUAAUAUAUUGCUAUUUUAUCUUUAAGAUUGAUACGUGUUAAUUUAAUACAUUGGUAUCGGUACAGAACAAUAUAAACAAAAAAUAAAUUUUCUUCUUUUUAAAAUAGAAUAUAUUCCAUUCAAUGCGAAGAUAAAAAUAUUAUAAAAUGGAACACAUAAUGAUUCAAUUCAAAAAAAUAAUAAAAUAUAUAACUCAAGAAUCCUAUCUCAUCACUGGACUUUUCAUGGACCAGGCUUCCGUUCAAAAAGUGGGAAGAUUUAGGUAAAAAUAUAAACUUGAAAAAUGAAAUUGGGAAAAAAAUAAGGCUCGUUUUGAAAACGAGUCGAGUCUCGGAAGGUUUUUUGGCCCAGGCUUGGUACAAAUUUGAAAAAAAAAAACUUUGUUGUUUUGUUGUUGUUUCCUCACUGCUUUGCUGCAAUUUCAUUAUUACGUUGCUAUUAUUUUAUUAUUAUUGUUUCAAUAUUGUAUAAUCAUUGUCCUAUUGUUAAUUUUGAUAUUAUUUUAGAGGCAUUUACUUAUUUAAUUGUACCUAUCUUAGUAUUAUUUAAAUAUAAAUAUUUUUUAAUUUGAUGGAAAAUAUUUCUUUUAAUAUUUUUGAUAUAUUAUAUUUUUUAAAAAUUUUAUAUAAAAAAUAGAAAAAAUUUAAUACAAGUGAAAUUUUAAAAUUAUUUUUCAAAUCAAAUCCUAACCUAUCAAUCGAAUGUAAAAUUUUAUUGGAGUCGUCCCGAAUCCAACCAAUGACGACUCUACUCGUCACUACCAACAUGCCACUCCUACUAAGUAGGUCAUGUCACAGCAAGAGCUUCCAUAACAAGUACCAUCAACCGCCUUAAAAGUGGAAUAAUAUUAGUAAAGGUAAAUGUACUUAAAAAAAAUAAUUUUUAUAAAGCGUAUUAUAAAAAUAAUAAUAAUUGAUGAAAUUUGGAUAAAUUCAAUAAAAAGGGAGAAAAGCAUUUAUAGGGAAUUGCAAAAAAUAAAAUACAAAAUAAAAUGAAAACCUUCAAAAAGCACGUCUGAAUGCUCUUUAAGAUUUACAACUGCACCGACACUAAAUAAUAUUUAUUUUCACAGUUUUAAUUUAUAUAUAAUAAAUUAAGGUGAUUAUUUAUAUACCAUCACUAAAUAAUAACAAGACUCAUUAUUUAUGAAAUAAAAAAUUAGGGAAUGACUCAUAAAUAAAUAUUAAUACUUUCAUUUAAAUAUAAACUCGAAAUUAAAAACCCAAUUUAAACUUUAAAUUUUAAAUCAUAAUAAUUAAAAUUUGGAUUGUGAGAUUAAUUUUUUAAAAAUUAAAAUAUUUAAAAAGUCUUAUAAUCUGAUGUAUAAUAUUUUGUUGUUAUUUCUUCUCUAUUUCUUUAAAUAUUUUUUUAUUUUUGUUAAACAUUUAAAACAAAUAAAUCUAAUCCAUAAAUAAAUAAAUAAAUACCAAUUAAGUAAAUUUUUUAAUAAAAUUAUACGUAAUAAUUUUCUUUUAUUUUUCACACACAUUUAUUGACCACCCAUUUUUGUAAAUUUAUCUUUUAAUAAAUGAAAAUUUUAAACCAAGAUAUUUUGACCCAUAAACAAAGUCAGAUAUUAUUAUUCACAUUUUAAAAAAAUACCAAAUAUUAAAUUCCUAAAUCCUAAAGCUUUGUACGUACAAGAAUCUAACCAAAUCCCAAAUCAAAGAAAAUUUUAAGAAAAAAACAAAAGAGAAAAUGACAAUCCUUACUUUGUACGAUUCCUUCUAUUCUUCCCAGUGGCAGUAGGCACAUAGGAGUUCGAGACACCUUAAAGAGCUAUUUUAUUUAUCUAAACAUAAAUUAUUAAAGGGACUUUUAACCAUUAUUAUUAACUAAACAAUAAUUGAAUUAAUUGAGUUUGUCUAACGCCACCCUCCACCCCACAUCUUUUAUCUUCAGAUUUCAUUUACUUUUAUUUCUCAUUCUUAUAAUUUCAUAUUAAUUUAAAUUUUCUUUUAUUAAUUUAGGCAAUAUUUGACUGAAAUCAUUGUUAAGUUGUUGAAAGAAAUAAAAGUGAAUUUCACGGAAAGAAUUUAAAUCAAAAUAUUUAAUAGCAUGACUGUAUAUUUAUACGAAACUUCUAUCCUCGGCACAUACAAUGGAGCUGUAGAUAGUCAAGUAAAAUUCAAUCCACGAAAUAAUUUGAUCUAUGGACAGCGUCGUUUUGGUGAAGGUCGUAAUGUCAGAAGAAUCAUUACCGCAAGGCGUAAGGGGGAAGUUAUAAGUGUCUAUACAGUAAAAUUGAUUUUUGACAAAAUGAAAAAGACAUGAUAAAAUCGUAACCAUAGAAUACGACCCUAAUCGAAAUGCAUACAUUUGAUGGUGAGAAAAGAUAUAUUUUACAAAGUAUUUGGAUCAAGUUUGAAUCUUGAAGUUGUUACUGUUGAAAGGAUUUUACUUGAAUACCAUCUUUAACCAAAAUAAAAUUAUGCUCAGAUCAUAAAACAGGUGAAGAUUAAAAUCAAACAUGUGGACAAACUACAAAUAAAUGUGCAUUUAUCACAUGAAUCUUGCAUGUUAAUAUAAUAUCCUUCCUAAAUUUGAUGGCAUCAAGGGCAAAGUUAAGAAUUUUGCUUAGAGGCUUAGAUAAAAUUAUAAAUUUUUGGAAAUUGGUUAAAAAGAUUAAAUUGUAUUAUUAGUUUUUUAGAGGAAAUAAAAAUAGAAUUUUUUUUUCAUUCAAUUAACAACUAAGAGACUUUAAUGGAAUGAUUUAAUAUUUGGGAGGGUCUUAAGGAAAAAUUUUCCUUUUAAUCAAAGGAGCCGAAGCCUUUGUUCAGUCUUCCAUUUACAAUUUAAUUUCUGUUUAAAAAAUGCUUUAUGUUAAAAUUUAAACUUGUAUUUAAAGCUUGAUGGAAAUAUUUGAUUGAUAGCAAAGGAGAAGUUAAAUUUUUUUUGUACGGGGGAUUGAAAUUAAAUUAUAAUUUUUACGAUAAUAAAAGUGUAAUUUUAUCAUUUUAAUAGUUUUUAUCUUUAUAAUUUUUUAAAAAUUAAAUUAAAUUUUUGUUUUUAUAGGAGUUAAAAUAUAAUUUUAUCUUUAUUAAUUUAAAAUUUUAAAAAUUUCAAAUAUUCUAAAUAAAAAAAUUUUAUUUUAAGGAGGGCGAGUGCCUGUCAGCCUCCAGCUACCCCUGAUUGAUACAAACAAGUGCUUUAAGGAAUGAAGUAAAAUAUUUUGAAGUUUAGGACUAAUGUAGAAUAUGAGCGAUGGUUUCAGAACUAUUGAUGCAAGUAAUCCUUAUAUAUAUAUUUUAAUGUAAUUAUUGUAUAUUAUAUCAAUCAGGAAUAUUUUAAUUCAAUAUUCUAUUUAUCUUAUUAUUAAAAUAUUAAAAUAGGAUAUUAAUUACUAAGCGUAGAAUUCUUAUAAGAAAAAGGGUGGUGGUUGAGUGACAGGCGGUGAAUUUAUCAGAGCUCCCCAAGUGCCCAAAAAAGUGGCAGACUAGAGGAGAAAAGGUGGAAAGUCCGACCGUUUAAAUUGACCUAAAUUUGCGGGACGUAAUUGUCGGCAAAUCAACUGUCUUAAAUUUCCAUUUCCCGCCCUUUCUUUUUUUACAAUUUUUAUCAAUCAAUCAAACCACUCUUACUAUUUUCUUUGAGUGGACUAAUUUAUUAAAAAUAUAAAAAUGUAAUUAAAAAAUUAAAUGCAGUGAUUAUACUUAUACAAAUUUAUAAAAGUUAUUAAAAAACAAUCUUAGCUGGAUUCAUUUCUUUGUUCGUGGAAACAAAAUCAUUUCAAUUUAUAAGUUGCUCAUUUAUUAAAAAAAUUUUAAAUUUUAUUAUUGUUUUUUUACAUAAAUUAAUUAUUGUUAAAUUAAAUUAAUUUAAUGUUUAUCUUUUUAAGUUAAAAUUUCUUCGUAACCCAACACAAAUCUUCUACUUCAACUACUAACUGAUACCAUGAAUCAAUCCCUUUGUCUCUGCAUGUCUCCUUUCUCUUAAACCUGCAAAAGACCACCAUGCUUUCCUCCACCUCCUCUGCCGCCGGCGGCUGUUUCUUCUUCCUUUUAUGGUGGUCAUUUUCAUCAUGUGAAGCACUUCAAGUUCCUAAUCGUAGGCUCCUCCAUGAACCAUACUCCACUCUUUCCUCUGAACCACCUUCUCUUCCACCUCCUCCAUCUCCACCCAACCCCAAAUACACUUUAUCUUCCUCCGCCGCCACUUCUCCUCCAGGUUCCCCAUUUUUCCCUUCCUUCCCUUCCGCUCCUCCGCCUCCUCCUCCUUCCACUUUCGCUUCGUUUCCCGCCAAUAUUUCCUCCCUUGUCAUCCCUCACACUCCCACCCCCAAACAUAAUUCCCAGAAACUCGUUAUCCUUGCUAUCGCCGCCGUCCUUUCCGCCUCCAUUGUCGCCGCUAUUAUCGUUUUUGUCUAUUGUAGACAACGUGGGCCGAGACGUGACUGCUUUGAAGAUAACAAGACCGUAACGUCGGAUAAUAGCAGUAGGGCAUGCCAGUACAACCACAAUGACAAUAACAAUAAUAACAAUGCCGCCGGUGCUCGUAAGGUGAGAACAACGUCGACAACCAGUUCCGAGUUCCUUUAUUUGGGAACUGUGGUGAACUCACAAGGCCGGUUCGACGACGGUUCCGGUGACUCUCCGGGCAAUGACGAGUUAGAUCAGACAAAAAUGUACUCUCCGGAGCUCCACCCAUUGCCGCCUCUGUCCCGACAGAACACCGGUCGGAACUGUCGGGACGGUGAAGUAGAGUACGGUACAGAUGAUGAUGAUGAUGAGGUGUUUUAUUCGCCAAGAGGGUCAUUGGGCGGGCGUGAUAGUUCGACCGGAACCGGAUCCGGGUCAAGAAGGGUCUUCACGGCGGCGAAAACCAUUGAAUCUAGUAGUACUUGUUCGUGUUCAUCUUCCAGUUCGGGUUCUCCGCCCAGGUCUCGUUCCCUUAGUAUUUCCCCGCCGGCUAGUUUUAGGUCCCGAUGGCCCGACCCGAAAUCUCCUCAACUCGUGCAAACUCAAGCUUCACCGGAGAUGAUUUUAAUUGAUUCACCACGAGUUUCAAAUGCAUCCAUUAAUGGAACCAUACGGUCUCCAUCGUUGUCAUUGAUCUCUACAUCACCAGAUAGAGUGUUCAUAAGAGAAUCAAACGAUCCAAACAUGGAACCUCCUUCACCGUCGACGGCGUUGGUUGAAAACCCUGAUUCAUCAUCACCUUCACUGUCUUCUCCAAACAGAGUGUUGAUCGAAAAGCUCGAUGAAUCGAUUAAAAACUUCAAGGAUUUCGUUCAAAACAUGAAAGCUCCAUUGAUUUUAGCUUCACCUGGUACUAAAGACUCUCAAGGCAACGAUCCUUCAGUUUGUUCAGCUUCUACAUCCCCAGACAGAGCUUUAAAUUCACCAUUGUUAAACAGAGCUUUCGAGGAAAGCCCAGAAAUGUCACCAUUGAAGCCUGAUUUUUACAGUAAAGCCCCUUCUUUAUCAUCUUUAGCUUCUUCAUCACCAGAAAGAGUUUUAGAAAAAAGCCCUGAAUCAUCUCCUUUAAGACUUAACAAAGCUUUACAGAAACCUAUCUUAUCUCCACCGCCUCCUCCGCCACCUCCUCCACCUCCAAAGCAACGACGGCUCUGGGAAAAACCAGUUCCAUCAGUAUCUUUUGCACAACAAACAUCAAAGCCGCUGCCUCCAUUAACACCCUCUUCAACACCGUUUAUAAUGGAAGAACAGGAGGAAGGUUUAAAACCCAAGUUAAAGCCAUUACAUUGGGAUAAAGUACGAGCUAGCUCUGGUCGUGAAAUGGUGUGGGAUCACCUUAGAUCAAGCUCAUUCAAGUAACAAUUCCACUUGUUUAGUUCUUUUACUUGAAUUCAGUUCAGUCCUUCCAUGUGAUUCUAACAAUUUGGUUUCUGCAGGUUGAAUGAAGAGAUGAUCGAAACACUAUUCGUCGUAAAUCCGAACUUGAAACCGAAUCAAACGACACCGCGGUCCGUUCUUCCAUUACCAAACGAAGAGAAUAGAGUAUUGGAUCCCAAAAAGGCACAGAACAUUGCAAUUUUAUUGAAAGCACUCAAUGUGACAGUGGAGGAAGUUUCUGAAGCACUUUUAGAAGGUACAAAAUGGCAUUAUAAGAUGAUAUGUAUUGUGAAAUGUUUGGUUCUAAGUUUCAUAUCUAUGGUGAUUUACAGGUAAUGCAGAUACACUUGGGACUGGAUUUCUUGAAAGUUUAUUGAGAAUGGCACCAACAAUGGAAGAAGAAUGUAAAUUGAAGGAGUAUAAAGAUGAUUCACCUGUUAAGCUCGGUCCAGCUGAGAGAUUCUUGAAGAUGGUUCUCGAUAUACCCUUUGCGUUUAAACGGGUCGAUGCGAUGUUGUACGUAGCUAAUUUCGAGUCUGAAAUUGAGUACCUUAAGAACUCUUUUGAAACUCUAGAGGUAAUUCGACUCGAUUCCAUCGUUCGAUCUAUUUUGCAAUGGACUAAAAUGACAUUGUGUGUUUUUUUCCUUUUCGUAGGCGGCUUGUGAUGAACUGAGAAACAGUAGGAUGUUUUUGAAGCUGCUAGAGGCAGUACUCAAGACCGGGAACCGGAUGAAUGUUGGGACGAAUCGGGGCGAUGCACAAGCCGUUAAACUCGAUACACUCCUUAAACUUAUUGAUGUCAAGGGUGCUGAUGGUAAGACAACACUCCUACAUUUCGUCGUGCAAGAAAUCAUAAGAGCUGAGGGUGCUCGUCUUUCGAAUACCAACCAAACACCAAACUCCACUUUAACCGAAGAUGCUCGGUGUAGAAAACUCGGUUUACAGGUCGUUUCAGGUCUUAGUUCAGAGCUCACCAAUGUUAAAAAAGCAGCUGCAAUGGAUUCAGAGGCACUCAGUAGUGAUGUCUCCAAGCUUUCUAGAGGCCUCGAAAACAUCAGUGACGUCCUACGGUUAAACGAAACAAUGGGGUUGGACGAGAGCAAAGAGAAAUUUUCGGAAUCAAUGAACCAGUUUAUGAAAAUGGCUGAACAGGAAAUCCCAAGGAUUCAAGCACAUGAAAGGCUAGCACUAUCACUAGUCAAGGAGAUUACUGAAUACUUCCAUGGGAAUUCAGCAAAGGAAGAAACUCAUCCCUUUAGAAUCUUCAUGGUGGUGAGGGAUUUCCUUACGGUUCUCGAUCGAGUCUGUAAGGAAGUCGGGACGAUAAACGAACGAACCAUUGUUAGUUCUGCGCAUAAAUUUCCAGUCCCAGUGAACCCAAUGAUGCAACAAACAUUCCCAGUUCCAAUAAAUCCAAUGAUGCAACAAGCUUUUCCUGGAUUUCAAGGGAACCCACACUAUGAUUCUGAUGAUGAAACUGCACCAUCUUAGUCUUUUGCAGCUUAAAAUCAGGUCAAAAACGAACUAGGACACGUGAUUUUUCAUGUCAGUCACGAAUAUUUCUAGAAAAAGGAAGAGGUGAUUGGCAUCAUGUUAGGUGUUUGUAAUUUAUCAUUUUUCUUAUUUUUCCAUAUUUGUAUAUAGAUUCAUGUACAAUAUUUUGGGAACACUUUAUGUUUUAUAGAUCUAAUGUAGGAGAGGCUAAAUUUAGAAAAUUUAUUAUGAUGAUGAUCAAAAAACAAAAUUAUUACCAUGGGAAAGCCGUCCUUUGCUCAUUUCAGCAUCUAAAAACAUUAUUAGCCGCCCUCCUCUAAUUAGAGUCUUUAAAAAGAAACAUUAGCCGCCUCUUCUCCCAUUGAUGACCUUGGCUGCAGCUCAACAUCAAGCCAAAUUACCGAAGGAAAAAUCUUCAAUUAUAUUCAAGUGUUGGAUUUUUAAGUUUAUUUGUGCUUUUCCAAAAUUUUUUUAAUAUAUAAGAAAAUGACAGGUUGAAUUUUCAUGCUGUAUAAAUGGUGGAUUUAACCUGUGAUUAAUUUUAGUUUUUAAAUUUUUUGAAUCAAUUAAUUUUAAUUUUAUACUAAAUGGUAAGAGUUAGGUUUUAUUAUGAUUUUUGUACUAGAUAUAAAUUUAAUCUAUGUUCUCUAAUUGAAUAAUUCUUAUCCCUAUACUUUUUGAAUUACGAUUUUUUAAUAUAAUUUCUACUAUUCAUGGUCGCUCGCAAACUUUUAAAUUGGAAGAUUAUAUUUGCCUAAGUGACUAAUUGUUGCAACAAUAGUGUCAACCGAGAUAUGGUUCAAUCCUCAAAAUGUGGGGCACUAAAGUUAUUGACUUUUUUUUAAAACUAAGGGUCUGUUUGAUAGGGGAAAAAUAUUUUUCGGAAUUGGUUUUCCCCAUUUUCCAGUGUUUGAUUGGAGGAAAAUAUUUUCCUCACGUAAAAUCAAUUACAAACACGGGAAAAAGAAGCUUUUAAUCUUGGAAAAUGUCUUACCGAUUUGGAAUCAGUAAGACAUUUUCCGAUUUUUCCAGCGUUCUCCCUUCUCUACACUCUCGUUCUCCCUUCUCCUCUCUACACCGAUCUGGUUUCGUUCUCCCGUUCGUUCUCCCUUCUCCCUUUCGUUCUCCCUUGAUUUGGUUUCGGGCUCCUUUUCCCCCUUUGAUUUCUUCUUCUUUUUAUAAAUUGAUUUGGGGAUUUUCUGCUUGUUUUUGUCUAAGAUCUUGCUUGGGUUUUCUGCUAGUUUGGCUGUGUUGUUUGGCUUGUCUUGGGCAGACUUUCUUCACAGACUUGCUUUAGAAAGGUAUAUUUUCUUCUCCAUAGUUUUGUGAAUCGGUUUCUUGUCCAUAGUUUGAAAGAUUUUGGCCACUGUUUAUGCUAAAUGUCACCUCUGCUCUCACUGAUUUGUGCGUGCUUUUUUUGUUUGAUUUUAAGUGUAUUUUUUAGCAGAUCGAAGCUUGUUUCGCUGUUUUUGAUCAAAGUGUUUUUUUUCUUUUGAUUUUCGGUUUUUGAUCGAAAUUCUGUGUUUUUCUGUUUGUUUGUCACUAUCUCGUUUACUAACUGUUCAUGCAAUUCUUAAAGAGUAUUAUAUCAUAAUGGAUUAUUUUUAAGUCUCUGUUUGGUUGAUAGGAAAAUUCUAGAAUUAUAUGAAAAAAGAAAUGCAAAUUUAAGUCUCAUUCAGAAAAUGAUUUCUACUUUGAUUUUGUUUUAUUAUUCUGUUUUGCACGUUCUAUUUCGUGCAAUGCUUCAUCGUAUCCAUAUUAUGUUACUCGUACUUAGAUUUGUAUAUAUGUAUAUGCAUCUGAUAAUAAUAUGUUCAAAGAAUUACAACAUUUGAUGUUGAAGAACAAGAAAUUAGCUUCUUCGUUUUCUUUUUUUUUUUUUGGUUUAAGUGAUUCUGUUUUAAGUAUAUGUUUUACCUUCUGCAGCCAUUUCAUAUCUUUCAAGCCUUCCCUCCCAGAGCAGGCCAAGGUGAGGAUCUUUGACUGGUUGUGAAAAGUGAAAGAAAAGUGUAACAACCCGGUUUUGACCCUAAUCGGAAUAGCGGUUUCGGGACCACAAAUUCGAAUUAGAAAAAUAUUAUUAAUAUUAUUUUGUGUGUUUAUUUCGUGUGCAUUUGAUUGUGUGAAAUUUUCGUGUUUUAAUUUCGUCGUUUAAGUGUCCGAUUUAAUAAAAGGGUUUAAUCGCGUAAAAUAAAAGUUAGAGGUUAAAAUUUAAAAGCACCUAUUUGUAGUUGUCUUUUUAAGUGGGAGGUCUAAAGAUGUAAUUAGACCAAUAUUUAGUUAGUGGGUGGUAUAUGCCAACAUUGCCCUUAAGUUAUGUAAUUUAUAAUUUAUUUAAUUAAGGUUAAUUUAGUCAUUAAGUAAAUUAUAAUAUUAUAACUAAAAUAAGUCAUAAAAAGAUGAAUAUGUUCAUCUUUGUUAGCCGAAUAUUGGAAAGGAAGAAACCAUCCAUGGUUUCUUAAGUUUCGGCACUUUCAUAGCAAAAUUAAGGUACGCUUUGGUUUCGGUUUUUGAUAAUUUUUACGUUUUUGAGAUCGUUGCUUUGAAUACUACCCGACCCAUGCUUGAAUUUCUGAUUUUAAUGAAUAUUUUGAGUUAUGCCAUUGAUGAAUAUUUGUGUUUUGUGAUGUUUGAUGAUGAAUAAUGGAAGAUAUGUCUUAGAUUAAUAUGUUUUGUCUUGGGAUUUUUGAUGAAUUUGAGUAUUUAGGGCUAAAUUGUGAAAAUAAAUUUUUGAGGGACUAAAAUGUGAAAUAAAUGCAAUGUGUGGACUUGUAUGAGAACCAUGAAUAUUCGGCCCUUGUGUGGUAUGGGCAAAUUUUGUGUAUUUUGUGUUUUGUGCAAAAAGGACUAAAUUGCAAAAAAGUGUAAAAUAUUAGGGGCAAAAUGAUAAUUUUCCCAUUUAUGUAUUUUUGGACUUAAUUGAAUGUUUUGAUGAAUAAAAAAGUUAAAUUUGAUUAUGUUUAGAUCAAGAAACGAAGAAAACGAAUUUGGAUCGGGGGAAAACGAAAGCAAUCGAAUAGUCGAUCGUGUCUGCUGAUAUUCGAGGUAAGUUUAUCAGCUAUUUAAUGUUAUUAAAUUAAUAUAUAUGUAGGUAUAUCUAUUAUGUUUGUUGUUGAGCUAAAAUUAAAAGAAAUUUAAUUGAAUAAAUUCAAAUUAUAAAUGGUAUAAAUAUGUAUAUACAAUGUUCGAAUAUAUAUAUGCUUAUAUAAAUAUUUUUGAAUUAAGUUAAAGUAUGAAUGGUAUAAGGUAUAUAUAUAUUCAAAUAAUUAUAUAUGUAUCUAUAUGUAUAUAUACUUGAAUUUGGUUGGUUGUAUGAGAGUUAUAUAUAUAUAUAUGUGCAUAUAAUAUUCAAUUAUAUGUAAGUAAAUACAUGUAGAAAUUCUUGCUUAAAUUAAAGAUAUGUAUAAUACAUAUGUAUACAUAAGUUUCGAACAUAUAUAUGUAGGUAAAACAUUGGGUUUGAUUGAAGGUAUGUAUGUUGUAAUUGUACAGAUAAUUUCGAAUAAGUGGUUAUAAGGGAGUUGGAACAUCUAUAUAUAUAUAUGAAUAGGUCUUGAUUAUAUUUUAAGGUAUAAAUGUUAAAUACGUACUUGGGAGUUCGAAUAUAUCAAAAUGUAUAUUCCUAUACAGAUUCUUGAAUUUAAUUGAAUGUAUGAAUUGCAAACUCUUUGUGAUUGAAUAUGGACUACAAUGAAUGUGUGUUUGCUAUUAAUAAAUAUUUGAGAAAUUAUUCUGUAUAUGGAAAAAUUGAGAUUUUCAGGCUUAGAACUUAGUAGGCUUAUUGCCGGUGAAACACUUCAGACAAAAUGUCUAGCAGGCUUAAUGCCGGUGAAAUAUUUCAGACUAUAUGUCUAGCAGGCUAAGUGCCGGUGUACUGAAUUAGGCUUUAAGCCUAGCAGGCUAAAUGUCGGUGAAUCUGUUUUUAAGUAUGUGAUUAAGUGUAUAAUUAUAUGAUUUUGGAUAUGUUUAAUUGAUAAGUAUAUUUAUAUAUACAUUCGGCUAAGUGCGUUUGAUGAUUAUAUAUAUUCGGCUUAUGCACUUGUAAAAUAUAUAUAUCUGCUUUGGGAUUUUGUAUUUGAUAAGUAUAUACUUUUAAAUAUUUGGUACACAUACUUGAUUAGUAACUACAUAUGCAUUCGAGAUAUAUAUAUACCUUUGUUUAUAAGUAUUUGAUAAAAAAAAAUGAAUGCAUUCAUUCAUAUGUAUUAGAAUUGUAUUUGCUUAAUGUUUAUCAUGAGUAUACAUACAUAUUCGGUUAUGAUAUGUGUAUAAUAUAGAUAUAUAUGCUUAGUUGUGUACAUUCGGUUGUAAUGUGGUUUGGUAUAAAUAUAAAAUCAAUUGAUCGCAUUCGACAAGUAUAUAUAUAUUGGACUAUAAAUAAAAUGAUCUGAGUACAAUAAUGUAUAAAUAUUAGGUAUUCGUGUUAAUUGAAAUCUCAGUGAAUUAGAUUAAAGAGUUAUAUUAUUUAUAUUUAUAUACAUUUAGUUAUGCUGUAGACUUACUAAGCUUUAAAAGCUUACUCUGUUUGUUUUCAUCCAUUUGCUUUUAUAGAUUUUGGAGACACGUUACGAGCUCGGGGAUCAUCAGCAUAGUCCAUCACACUAUCGACUUCUUUUGGUAUUUUGUUAAAUAUUUGAACUUAAUCUUAUGGCAUGUAUAGGUUUGAGUACGAUGUUAAUUACAUUUUGAUUGUAAAUUAUAAUAGCUAUGCGAAAGUAAUUAAAUUUUCACGUUGUGAUCAGUUUGGUUUUAGAAAUGGUUGUGUUUGUUCGGUAAUGCCUCAUAACCCUAAUUCGGCGACGGAGACGGGUUAGGGGUGUUACAAAAAGCUGGUAAAUGAUUCUUGUUAUGCUUUAAGUCUAGCAUUACGUAAGCAGGGUUUGUGGUUCAUGUUUUUAAGUAUCUGCUUUACCUUUGUUCUCCAGAGUAGUUGAAUAUUUGUUUCACAGCUACAUAUAUAGGAAUUUGUGGUUCAUGUUUUUAAGUAUCUGUCUUACCUUCUGCUGUCAUUUCAUAUCUUUCAAGCCUUCCCUCCCAAAGCAGGCCAAGGUGAGGAUCUUUGACUGGUUGUGAGAAGUGAAAGAAAAGCUGGUAAAUGAAACUUGCAUUUGUGCCGUAGAGCCUCAUUCGGAGGCAUAGCUUUUAACACGCUCUUAUAUAGAAAAUAGUCAUAAUUGAGCAUAAUGCAAUUUCAGUUCAAUAUUUCAUUUCAUUUAUUAAGGUUUCAGUUUCGUAUAUGGCGGUGCUGCAUUGUUGAUAUUAUCCCAAUUAUGAGAUAUUAUUCCAAUGAUGCUAAAAGAGAAUGGGGUAGAGCUAACAAGAACAAAUUCAUAGCAUGUGGAUGGUAUUAAAUAGUUGUGCAAACACUUUGAGUGUAAAACUGCUUCAUGAUAUGGUUGUGGAAAGAUUGUGGGUUAAGCAAAUGGCACAGUUUCUGUUUUAAUGUAGUAGGUUGUACAUUGGUUUUGGUUGCAUUUCUUGGUGGAUGUCGUUUGAAUAAUAAAUUAGAAUAACUAAAAUUUUUUCUUACACCGAUUUUAAUUUUGAUUCGUAUAGUGUACACUGACUAAAACAUUUCACACCGACUAAUGCACGAACAAUACUAAAAAAUUAAUUUUUACCAACUUUAUGGAUAAUAAUUUAAUUAAAGAUACAACAUAAUGAAAUAUGGAUUAUUCGUUUUUCUUUAUCUUUUUUUUGUGAAUUUAUUCGUUUUUCUUUAUUUACAAGUAAUCGAUAUCAAAAUCUUUUACGAAAAAUCUGAUUAGUAUAUUCUCAAACUAGAAUCUAUAUCAAAUUGGUCUCUAUAAUUUAAUUAAAGAUACAACUAAAAUUUUUUUAGUUAAAAGUAAGAAGCAUAGAAAAAAUUGGCUUCAAAAAUUUUCUUAGGGUUGAAGAUAUUGAUACAUUUAUGUGGUAUAAUAUUAUGCACUUGGACAAUGUUGUUACUAUGUGGUGUACUACUAAUUAUGUAUUUGGAUAAUAUUAUUUCUAGUCUCAUUGUGGUUUCGAAGUAAUUUAUAAUUAUUCAAUAUUAUUACUAGUACUCAUUGUGGAUAAUAUUUUUUCAAUUUCUAACGAUCAAUAUUGUAGCUUAAUAAUUCAGUAUUAUUGUUGACACCAUUUUUUUGUUUGAAACGGGGUUGACUUGGGUUUUGAAAAAUGAAACGGGAAAUGGGAGUCGCCACCAAUCUUUUUUGAUGAGGUGUGAUCGGGUCACCUUUAAAAGCGGUUGUUUUUAAUAAACAAUUUAAUUUUAUUAAAACAACAAGUUUGGUCUACGAAAUUUAGAAAACGGGUUCGGGAGUUGGUUACGUACGAGGAAGGAUUAGCACCCUCGUAACGCCCAGAAUUGGUACCUAGUUGAUUAGUUAAUGUCUUAAUGUCGAAGAUUGAAAACUUUAAAGAAAUUUAAAAUACGAUCCUUUUUUAAAAAAAAUUCGAAUGGCAUGAGUUUAAAUUCAAUAGGAUAUUUGACAAUUUGGUUAAACGAGAAAUCGAAACCCAGUACCUUAGGGCACGUUCCUCGAAUUUCCAAACGCAAAACAUUGCCUUAUUUUUGAAAAGUUUUUAAAAGGAUAUUUAGCUAUUUGGUCGAACGAGAAAUCGAAACCCAGUACCUUAGGGCACGUUCCUCGAAUUUCCAAACGCAAAAUAUUGCCUUAUUUAGAAAUAUUUCCUUUUUUAAAAUAUGAUAUUCAUGUGCAUGGCGGAAUAAUAAACAUGAUUAUGUAAAUAAAAAAUGAACAAAACGAAUAAUAAAUAAAUCAUACAUUCCAUAGCAAAUAAAUAAAUAAAUAAAUAAACUGAAGCAUAAAAAAAUAGACAUAUAAAUACAUAGUAAAUGAUCAUACAAAACAAUAAAGGAAAAUAGAUGAAAAUUAUAAAAUAUGAACAUGUAUAUGUAUAUGUAUAUUUAAGGGAAAUAUGUAUAUGUAUGUAUAUACAUAGAAUUACGAAAAUAUGAAAGAUAUAUAUGUAAUAGGAGAUAUAAAAAUAUAAAUAUCUACAUGUAUAUGUAUAUAGAAGUUAUAAAAAAUUUAAGUAUAUAUAUAUGUAUAUUCGUGAGAAAAAGAAAAAGAAAAGUAUGUAUAUAGGUAUAUAUAUAGAUGUAUAGAUAAAUUAUAAAUAUAAAAUAUAAGUAUGUAUAAAUGCAUAUAUAUAUAUAUAUAUAUAUAUAGAUAAAGUUAUAAGAAUGUGUGCACGUAUAUGUAUAUAUAUAAGCUAAAAAAUGUUUAUAAAGAGAAAUGUACAUAUAUGCACAUAUAUAUAUAUUAAGAUAUAUGGAUAUAUAUAAUAAGAUAUAUAGAUAUAUAACUAAAUAUAAUAUUAAUAACAAUAGGACAAAUAUAUUCAAGAUUUAAAUAAGCGAAUAUAAAAUAAAAUACAACAAUAAUAUUAAACUAAUGGUAUAAUAAUAGUAAUAUAUAAAAAAAAAUAUAAGUACAAAUAAUAAUAAUAAUAACGAAAUGGACCCAAUUGGGAUAAAAAAAAUUUAAGGGCAUUUGAACAGUAAAUAAAUGCGCAAAUAAGGACCAAAAUGGAAAGGCGCGAAAGGGCGAAGGACCUAAUGGGAAAUAAACCCAAUUUCAGGCCAAGCGUCCCCUCCCCAGGGGUCCAACAAAUUGAGGACCAAAUUAAAAAACGGGAAAAAUCUUCGAUCCAAAUUAAAAAAUGAAGAAAAGUCGUAAAAGGACUAAAUUGAAUCAAAUCGAAAAUGCGGAAGGGCCUAAAUCACAAAUAACCCCUUGAUAGAAAACACGCGGAUCCCCUAAGUUGGGUCGGGUCGACGCGCGGGCUAGGGAGUAAAGCGACGUCGUUUUGGGGCCAGAUGAAGCUGGCCAAAACGGCGUCGUUUCCAGGCGCUAUAAAAAUCAAAUUUUUUUUCAGAUUUCUCAUUUUCUUCACUUUUCUUAAAAAAGAAACUCAAAAACUCUCUCAAGCCCUUUUGGGCAGUCCGGCCUCAUGCCUAAGGUCCGACCGUCGGCCACCGCGCCAGUAACCGGCCGCCGGCGAUGGUGCCACCGUCUGCGGUGGCCGGAAAAGUCCAAAAAGGCCUAUUUUACCCCUCUUUUCGAGUUGGGUUCAUAUCCGGAGUUAGAAAAGCCGAAAUCCUGGCGAAAAGGGCCGAAAUCGGAAGAGACCUUUCGGUUCUUCUUUCUCACCUCCGCCGAAAUCAGGUAAAACUCUCUUCCCUUCGUUUUGUUUUGCUUUUGAAAUCUUUGUAGAAAAAGAAACAAAAUAAAAUAAAAUAAAAAAGAAACGUAAACAAAAAAUAAGAAAGAGAUGCACUGUAAUCAACCUUUUUUUUAUUUCAUUUCUUUCUGCCAAAUAAGUGUUUUUUUUUUACAAAAAUCGGUCCUUAUAAAGAUGAUAUUCGGCCUCUUUAUAACCGAUUUUGCUUCUACUUUUCUCUGUUAUUGCUGCUUGCGUGUUUGCUUCUUUGUUGCAGGGGCUGAUGGUGGAGUUGGUGGCGGUAGAUGGCGAUGGGACGUGCGGCUGACAGAGAGCAGCGGUAAGUGGGAUACUAGGGUUUCAGUUUCUGAAACCCUAGUCUGAUGUGGGCUUGGCUGUUGGGCCAGGGUGCUGGGGCUUUUAUUUCUUUCUUGGGCCCGGGUAAAAUGGGCUUGUACAGCUGCCCCUCUUUGCUCGUUGUCGUGUAACGAGAACAGAGCAAAGACUAAGAAAGGCCCAUUUUGCCUGGCCUCGCCGAUUCUUGACUUCUUCUGACGCUUCUCUUCAAGUAGCUUCAUCCCAGUCCACUAUGUCUGGUUGCUUCGAUCCACUCCACUGCACUUCAGAAAGAUCUGAGUUGUAGCUUUAAUCUUCUUCACAGCAACUUUAAGGGGACGAGAUUCAUGGUUUUAGUCUGCUCCACUGCAACGUCAGGGAGAUAAGACUUGUAGCUUCAACUACAACUUUAAGGGAAUAAGGUCUGAUGCGAUCUGCCCUACUGUAACUUCAGAGAGAUAAGAUCAAUCAUUUUAACCCGCUCCACUACAACUUCAGGGAGAUAAGAUCUACUACUUUAAUCCGCUCCUCUGCAACUUCAGGGAGAUAGGAUUAUCGGCUUUAAUCUGCUCCACUGCAACCUCAGGGAGAUAAGAUUUGCACCUUCAAUUUACCCCACUGUAUCUUCAGGGGGAUAAGACUUUGGUUCUUCGAUCCACUCCACUGUAAUAUCAGGGAGAUAGGAUUUGUAACUCGUAACUUUUGGAAAGUAAGAUUCGUCAUUGUAGCUUUAAUCUUUUUAACUGCAAUAUCGGAGAAACAAGAUUCGCCAAUUUGGCUUUAAUCUAUUCCACUGCAUCGCUUGGGGCGUAAGAUUCGUUAUUGUAGCUUUAAUCAAGAUUCAUCGAUGUGGCUUUAAUCUUUUUAACUGCAAUGUAGGGGAAGCAAGAUUCACCGAUGUGGUUUUAAUCUGUUCCACUGCAUCGCUUGGGGCGUAAGAUUCGCUGUUGUAGCUUCAAUCUUCUUAAUUGCAAUGUCAGGGAAGUAAGAUCCGCUGUUGUAGCUUCAAUCUGUUCCAAUACACCGCCUGGAAAUAAGAUUCGCCGUUGUGGCUUCAAUCUUUGGAUUGAAAACUAUGGUUUCUUCGAUCUGCUUCGUUGUUAGUACAAGAAGGCAAGAUCUGCUAUCUUCAUUCUACUCCGCUGUCGGUACAGGAAGGCAAGGCUAGUGUCUUCGAUCUGCUUCGCUGUCAAGGCAAGAAGGCAAGAUCUGCUGUCUUCAACCAUCUCCACUACAACCGAGAGAGGCAAAGUUUGUGUCUUCGACUUGCUUCGCUGUCAACGCAGGAAGGCAAGAUCUUUUGUUUUCAAACAGCUCCAUCACAACCGACAGAUGCAAGGUUUGUGUCUUUGACCUGCUUCGCUGUGAACCCAGGAAGGCAAGAUCUAUUGUCUUCAACCAGCUCCAUCACAACCGACAGAGGCAAGGUUUGGUUUUCGAUCUGCUUCGCUGUCAAUGCAGGAAGGUGAGAUCUUUUGUCUUCAACCAGCUCCAUCACAACCGAGAGAGGCAAGGUUUGCGUCUUCGACCUGCUUCGCUGUCAAUGCAGGAAGGUAAGAUCUUUUGUCUUCAACCAGCUCCAUCACAACCGAGAGAGGCAAGGUUUUGUUUUCAAUCUGCUUCACUGUUAAUGCAGAAAGACAAGAUCUGCUAUCUUCACUAAUCUGCUCUCUGGGGAACAUGACCUGUAUAAUGAACCUAAUUAUGCCUAAUGAUUAGGACGGCAUGAUCAAAAUGAACCAAAUGCUCCUAACUAGACAUGUGUGAAUGGUGUUCGCAUGAAUGCAGUAUUUUUUUUUUUGAGAAUGAUCCCGCCUAGGUUGUCAUUACUCGAAGUUUAUUAAGGCUUUGUCAUCGAAGUGCUAUAACACCUUCCUUUUCGACUGGCAUUUUUUGAAGAAACAUUUAGCCAGGCUGCCCCCACUGUAAACCUCAAAGUUAUAUCCACUGGGAUGCCAAAAUUUGUACCAUCAUUCUCCCGCUAUAAUACAAGGGUAUAAAUAUGUGGCUUUUCAUCCGUCCUCGUUUAUAACAAUCCGGGGAUAUAGGAUGUGAACUGUUCUGGUUUCCUACACCAUUCUCAGAGUGUCGUACCAAAGUCUUAUGCGCAAAUGAAGGCUCUCUUCUCCGAGGUAACCUCUUCCUAUUGCCUGAUGAUCAUUGCUUGCUUGUUCAUUUAAGCUUUGUCAUUGACACGACAUCUUGUCAUUUUGUUCAAUCAAUGCACUUGACAACAUAAAUCCAAAGAGAAAGUCUAAAUUCAAACACUUUCUUCUCAGAUUUCCAACCUUUAAAAUUGAUGUGUUCUAAACAAUAGUCCUGUUUCAGGCUCCUAUAUUAUUUAGAAACUUUUCAGAGUAAUAUGCAAAACUUCCUUUGUGAAAGUUUUAUUAGUCCAUUAAUCAUUAUUCCAAUGCAACAUGCUUGCAAAAAGGGUCAUAACAAUGGAUAAGAAUAAAGUUGGUUCUGAGCAUAGCUCGGAAGAACAAGUUAUCCAAAAAUAGCAAAGAAGGAUGACAAAGAAAUUGAUUGGGAAUGUAUAUCUUGGAAAAGAAAAAAGGUAUUCCAAGAACAACAAAUAAUAUGAGAAUUGGGUGCCUCAGAUAUCGCAGCUUGAACUUCUCUGUACAAACUUUCUGAAGACCAUUUUGAGUUUGACAUGUGUUUAGGAGAUCUACAAUGCUUUGUCGAUGCCCCAAGAUGUCGCUUAUCCCUUCCUGUUGAUUCAGGUAUAGCAAGAUCACCACAUGCCCUAAUAUGAUCAAAAUUCGAAUCGCUCUGAUCGCCUUAUUCCUCAUUCUGAACAAAUAUUUGAUACGCCCUUUUUGGGUUUUUCAACUCGAAUCCCCUUUGGCCUAAGGCGCGCUUUGCGGGUUUUCCCCUUAGACUUUCCAUUUUUACUCUUUCAUUUUUCAUUUUUCAUUUUCCAUUUUCAUUCUUCAUCUUUUUCUUUUUUGAACUUCAUUGUCUUGCAAUACAGUGACAAACCGUGAUGUCUGAUUUUGAAUUGAUUACAGCCCUCAGCUAUCAAGCUGUCAUUCAGGUUCAAUGCAACUUCCAAUACCAUCCUCUCUGGAAUUCUAUAUCGGCAUAUGAUGACGCAUUCAGUAGCCCCUAUUAAUGAUCUCAAUAGUGAAGCAAUGCCCAUUAGAAGUCUUCGAUAAUGGUGAUGUCCAUGCCCCAUUUUGCUCAAAAUUUGAGUCGCCCUCUUUUGGGUUUUCAACUCAGAUCCACCUUUGGUCAAAGCGCCCUUUGUGGGUUUUCGCCUUGACCCCUCCUUUUUCUUUUUCUUUUUCUUCUCUUUUUUCUUUUUCUUUUUUUCUAUUUUGACUUUGAUUUUUUUAUUUUUGAUUUUUUUAUUUUUUUCUAGUCUAAACUCAUGAGAUUAGGCAAGUCCUGGUCAUGCUUUUCGACCAGAUUCGAUGUUAUUCUAAAGUCUUCCACAUAUGAUCUCCCACUUUCAUCUUGUAUGUGAGAAACCAGAUUUCUUUCAUAGAGCCCUUUUGGUACGCAACUGCGACAGAAAAAUUUGGAUCUUCCUCUUUAAUCAGGAUAAAAUCCAACAACAUCUUGGAGGGAUGGAAACUCGACUUUAAAUGGGCAAAGCUAUGCUGACUCAACGAGAGAGGCAUUGCCCCGGCAAAGAAUUGCAUCGUUCGCAUUGUAAAUUUUUGACAUCAUGCUGUUGUGCAGGUUUUAUUAUAAGAAUCGAGGCAUACCCUGGUAUGACCAUACAAAGACAUCUUUGAAUUUUUCGUCUCUAUAGGCAGGUCAAUUCUAGUCUUCAUCAAGCUCACAAUUUCUAAUGAUUCAUUGAGAGGUAGGAUCUGUUUAUCCUUUUGUUCUACCAUCCUCAACAAGUUUGGAGAUAAGCUACGAUCUGUGUCAUCUUCAAAGUCGUGAGAUCCCUCUAAACACAUGUCUCGCUCAAAAGGAGAUUCUAAGUCUGUAGCAGUGUCAUUCAUGUUGUUGAUAUCCAGGGACCUAUUGUAGGUACAAAAUAAUAUAUAAAGAAUGUAUGAAUUUAAGAAUAAUUAUCUGCACAGUAUGAUUAUGAAUGAAUGAAAGAAUGAUUUGGAUGGAAGAAUAAAAUAAUAAUCAAUGAAAGAAUAUUAGUUCAAAAGAUCGCAAAGAUGCAUUCCAUUAAAAUAAUGACGUUCAGACAUAAGCCUAUUUCACAAAAGACUUCUUGUUGCUCUAGGCUGAAAGCAACAAGUGUGUUUUGAAUAUUACUCUGAGUAAGCUCUAAAUACUACAAAGGUUUCUUCAGAACACUCCCAGGUUUAUAAGGGCGAACAUCUAAUAAGAUCCCUUCUUCAGUUGCUUGUGCAUUGCAUUCACUCCACUCGUCAAUUAUGAUUGGGUAAUGGAUUUUCCGCAGUGGAGGAAUCAUCAAAUUUAACGAUGCCCAUACUGAUAAGCCUUUCAACCAGUUUCUUAAAGGCAAUGCAGUUUUCUAUGGAAUGCCCCGGAUUUCUCGCAUGAUACUCGCAUUGUGCAUUCGCAUCGUGCCAUUUGGGGUACGGAGGCUGUGGAGGUUUCGUGUAGAGAGGGGCGACAAUACGUGCGUUGAAUAAGCUUUGAUACAACUCCUUAUAUGACAUCGGAAUUGGCGUGAAUUGAAGGUUCUCAGUGCCUUGCUUCACAUACGAUUCUUGUCUAGAUGAACCUUGCUGACUAGUAAUCACCUUUCUUGGCUGUGUAAUCGAUUUGUUGUAGGUGUUCACAUUGCUCACCUCAUUUUCCUUCUUUUUUAAGUCUGACCUCCUAUUAUUUUCUCCAGCAUCAAUCUUUCCACUUCUCACGGCACUUUCAAUCAUUUCACCGCUCAUGACUAUGUCUGAAAAACUCUUCGAAGCACUUCCUAACAUGUGGGUGAUGAACGGGGCCUUCAAUGUGUUGAUGAAGAGCAUCGUCAUUUCUUUCUCUAGGAGUGGCGGCUGAACUUGGAUAGCGACCUCCCUCCACCUUUGUGCGUAUUGCCUAAAACUUUCAUUAGGCUUUUUCUCCAUAUUUUGAAGGGUAAUUCUGUCAAGGACCAUAUCAGCUACAUGACUGUAUUGUUUCAUAAAGGCUUGUGCUAAAUCCCUCCAAGAACUAAUCUGGAUACGCGUCAAUUGAUUGUACCACUUAGACGCUGCCCCUGUGAGGCUAUCUUGAAAGCAGUGUAUGAGCAGUUGGUCGUUGUUGACGUAUCCGGCCAUACGCCUACAGAACAUAGUAAUAUGAGCUUCUGGGCAGCUGGUCCCAUUAUAUUUCUCGAAUUCCGGCAUCUUAAAUUUGUAAGGAAGCACCAAAUCCGGAACUAAACUCAGAUCUUUCGCAUCUAUUCCACGAUAGCCGUCGAUACUUUCUAUCGCCCUAAACUUCUCUUCAAUCCAUUUCCAUUUCUCCUCAAACUGCUUUGGUAACUCCUCCUUCAUCUUGUCUUUCUCCGCUACUUCAUCGAAGUCCGGGACAACCAGAUUAUCGUCAGGACUAGAACCAGAUCUGACCUGAAGGUUCUUCGGUAUUGAAGCGUCACCUUGAAAGUGCUGAGGCCUAAUCGAAACAGAAGAUCUUCGUGGAUGUGGUUCAAUCUGAAUUUGCGCUUGCGGAGGCGUGUAUCCUGGAGAAAAAAGUGGCUCAUCAUUGUUUCCUUCUUCAUCGCAAACCACAGGAUUUUUCCCUUUAUCCACUCCCUUGGUUAUUAAUUGCGUCAAUUUAGUCAUUAGUUCAUCCUGAGACUACUUCAUCUUUUGUGCCAUGUCUUUCUGGAUCUUUUCCAUAUGUUCUUUCAUUUGCACCUGUAACUGGCUUGCAUCUCUUUUUGCGUUUGCUCCAGUUUCUCUAAUUUUUGAUCCAUUUCUUUGGCUUUGCGACGAGUACCGUAAGGAUGUUUGGUUGAUUGGUUUUCCAGAUUAGCUGAAAUAAUUUUACAUAAUUAGGGUCACUUCGUGAAAAUCUAAUGCAUAUGAUGCAAUGUAAUGCAAAUGCAUGAAAUGAAUGCCUAAAGAGACGUUGAUUCUGAUUCAAUUACAUUUAGGAAACUUUUCUAGAAAGCAAAUUCCCUUACAUAAAACGGAUACAUGUACGACCUCACGCUCAUAUUCCAAGAAACAACAUCGAUUUUUUCUUCAUCCGCAUGUUUGAGGUAAUCUCACCAAUAGAUGCCAUUGCUAGCUCAUUUUCUUGAUCUUGGUCGCGAUCCAUCAUCUGCCCAUCUUCAUAAGGCUCGUCAGCUUGUUGAAGGCUUUUGGACAAUCGUCUCGAAUCCCCAGGCCACCAAGCAAGGUCACGAACUCUUCUAUCGCCAUUCUUAUGUUUCUCAGAAUAUGUUUGGGAAGUCGUAUUGUUUUCCACUUUAUCAAGGAAUUCGUAUUCCAUGACAAGCUUUCUAAUUUAGUAAUUGGAUUUGAAUCCAUAUCUCUUUCCUAAAAUGCAAAUGCAAUGCAAUCAUAACAAGAUCGGUUAGUAAAAAAAAUAGAAGCAAACAAGGAAAACAAAAAGUACCUAAUCAGGUAGAUACUAGGGGUUUGGAGUGCCUCUACCUAGGUUAAGUUCCUAAGUCUACUAUAUGAUGUUUGGUUCUAAAGCAAGGGUACCCAAACCAGCAGAUUCCUCGAUUCUCACCCAUUAUAGGCUCAUAUAGACCGAGUUCAGUUCAGGGGGAUACAUUUCCCUAUGGCCAUGCGGAAAUGAAAAUCUCACGAAGACAUAGGUACGGAUGUAUCCCGGAAGCGAUUAACUAUCCCAUGCGGAGGUGAAAACCUCACGAAGGCGUAGCUUCUCACUCCCACCUAAGAGGGUGUGACCAACGGCCAUGCAAUGCAAUGUGCAGAGAUAUAAAAAUUUUAGAAUACAAAACAUGAUAAAAACUAUAACUCAAAACAAAUGAAAUGCAAUGAGAGGAUCGUAUAUUUAAACCAAAUUUUCAACUUUCGACAAAAAGACAAGAAAUAAUCAACUCAUGGCUUGACUCUCUUAUUUUAAGGUCCCCAGCGGAGUCGCCAAGCUGUUGACACCAUUUUUUUGUUUGAAACGGGAUCGACUUGGGUUUUGAAAAAUGAAACGGGAAAUGGGAGUCGCCACCAAUCUUUUUUGAUGAGGUGUGAUCGGGUCACCUUUAAAAGCGGUUGUUUUUAAUAAACAAUUUAAUUUUAUUAAAACAACAAGUUUGAUCUACGAAAUUUAGAAAACGGGUUCGGGAGUCGGUUACGUACGAGGAAGGAUUAGCACCCUCGUAACGCCCAGAAUUGGUACCUAGUUGAUUAGUUAAUGUCUUAAUGUCGAAGAUUGAAAACUUUAAAGAAAUUUAAAAUACUAAUCAACUAGGUACCAAUUCUGGGCGUUACGAGGGUGCUAAUCCUUCCUCGUACGUAACCGACUCCCGAACCCGUUUUCUAAAUUUCGUAGACCAAACUUGUUGUUUUAAUAAAAUUAAAUUGUUUAUUAAAAACAACCGCUUUUAAAGGUGACCCGAUCACACCUCAUCAAAAAAGAUUGGUGGCGACUCCCAUUUCCCGUUUCAUUUUUCAAAACCCAAGUCGACCCCGUUUCAAACAAAAAAAUGGUGUCAACAAUUAUUAUAAAUAAAUCAUUGCAAUAUAUGUAAAAGCAAUUUAAAAUAUAAAAAUUUAUUAAUAUAUAUUAAUAUAUGUAAAAAAUAACUUUUCCGGAAAAUAUUUUUAGGAAAUCUGUCAAACAGCAGAAAAUAUUUUACACAGAUUCAAUCAAACACCAGAAAAUAUUUUCCAGUAAAUCAUUUUACAGAAAAGUAAAACAUUUUCCAGAAAUCAUUUUACGGAAAACAUUUUAAUGGCAAUCAAACGGACCCUAAUAUAUGAAAAUAAUAAGCUGAUAUAGCACGAAUAAUGCCCAUAAAUAAGUAAAUAAUGUGUUUCAGUGCACUCGAACCUAUAUUGUAAUGGCCUAAUCUCAAGGUUAUCGGAACAGUGGUUUCGUAACCACAAAUCCGAUUUAAAGAGAAAUUUAUUUUAAUAUUUUUGCAUGAAUAUUGAUAUGAGAGGAAAAUCAUAUGAAAAUAUUGAUAGAAAAAUUUUACCGAUUUAGUGGUUAGUUAGAAAAAGAAAUUAUUGAAGAAAUUGGGUAAAAAUAAGGUAUCGAGACCUCAAUCUCGUAAAACCGAGUCAAAAAUAUUUUUAUAAAUAUUUAUGAAAUGUUAGUAAUAUGGUAUUAAAAUUUCGUUAGAAAAUUUUAAUGUUUGGGUAGUCAAUUAAGUGAAAAGGACUAAAUUGAAAAAGGUGUAAAAGUUACUAAAAGAAUUAAAUAGCUCAAUUGUUAAAUGAGGAGGGACAUAAAUUGAAAAUAAGCCCAAAAGGAGGUAUUUUGGGCGGCAUAAGCUGAGAAAAAUCGGGAGAAUUAGUGAAAUGAGGGUAAAAUAGGAAAAUAACAAAUUUUACUAACAUAAAAAUGAGACCAAAUUAGAAUAUCUAGAAUUCUCUUUAUUUUUCUGCAUUCUCAUCAGACAAAAACAUCCUAAGGGUUUAUUCAAGCUUAUUUUUCAUACUUUUUGCACCAAGUAAGUUAAUCCUUGCCUUUUUCUUGUAAUUUUUGUGUUUCUAAGACUUUUACAACUAGGUCCUAUUACUAAAUUCAUUAGUUUUUGAUUUUAUGAAUGAAAUUGAAAGUUUCUAUGAAUAUGUGCUGGAAGUUUAUGAUGAAAUAUCAUGAAAUUGAAGCUUUAAUUUGUAUAUGAGAUGAUUUUAUUAGGUAAUUUCAAUAGAAAUUGAUUUGUAGGACUUAAUUGUGAAAAAGUUAGGAAUUAAAGUCUAGUGCUAAAAUUCUGAUUUCCAAAGGUUAUAAAAUAGUUUAAAGUGAUAUAAUAAAGUGUUAAUUGAGAAAAAUCAGCUCAAUUGAGAGGUUAAUUGAGCAGUGAUGAAAUUAUCAUUUAUUGAAAGCUUAGGGGAAAAAUGGUAAUUAACAUUAUGCACUAAAACAGUUUUGGACAGCAGCAGUAGGUUAUUGAGUCUAGUUUCUUAUAAAAGAAAUGGUGUAAGUAAUGGAAUUGUAAAUCAUGAGAUAUAAUAGAUUUUGUGAGACAAGGUCAGAAUGAAUUCGGGUUCCCCUGUUCUGACUUUGGAAAAUCAUUAAAAAUUGUACAAAAAUGAUAAUGAGUUAUAAUUUAUAUGUUUAGAAUCCUUAAUAAGUCUCUUUUCAUAAGAAACAACGGAAACAUCAUCCAAAUUCUGUACAAUGAGAUAAUUAAUUUUUAGUGAAGAGGGGUCGAAACUGUCAAAUAGUGAAAUAGGGGAACUUUAAAGAAUAAACUGUACUUAUUGGCUAAACCAAAAAUUCUGAAAAUUUUAUGGUAAGAAGAUAUGUGAGUCUAGUUUCAGGAAAAUUAGCGGAUCUUAAUUUGGAGUUCCGUAGCGCAAGAUAUAAAUAAUUUAGUGACUAUGACUUAGUGAGACAGCUUUGAAUGCACUAUAAAUAAUAAUGAAAUUAUAGAGAAUGUUACAUAUGAACAUGAAAUGUAUUAGAUUUAUCAUUAAUUUAUUUAUUUAGAUCCAGAAAAUUCAAGUACGAUGCUAGAUCGAGGAAAAGAAAAAGUUUGGGAUUAGUAGAUUUUUUGUUUAUGAACAAGUAUCGAGGUAAGUUCGUGUAAUUUGAAUUAUAUUCUUAAAUGCUUGAAAUAUAUUUUUCUUGAUGUGAAUAUGAUUUGGAUGUUUAUUGUAUGAUAAUUGAUGAAGUAUUGAUAUUCUUGAUGAAAAGAGAAAAUAAAUCCCGGUUGAAUGGAAGGAAAAUUUGAUGGAUCUCUGAAAAGGAAUUGACGGUAAAAAGGAUCUAGCCCGGACGGGUGAUCCUAUCUUGAUAUAGCCCUCCCUAAGAAUAUGUGAAAAAUAGAUUUAGCCCGGACGGGUAAUCCGAAUUAGGGUCUGAAUUUAGCCUAGAUUGGUAAUUCAGAUCCAAGCUCAUUAGAGUAAUUGUCAUUGCAGACGAUUUAGCCUGGACUGGUAAUCCCGACAAUACUAUAUGAGUUUAUAUUACAGAGGAUUUAGCCUGGACUGGUAAUCCCACUGUAAGGAUGAGGUUCGCAGGAGUGUGCUCUCUGAAAUGGAAAUGUGCGCACAUGAAUAUGAAUUGACGGACCCAGAUUUGUACACUAAAGUGUACCCCUGAAAAUCCAUCGAAAUUCUAAGCAAUUCAACGGGAUAAAUAUGGAAAAAUAACAAGGGAAUGGAAAUCAUGGAAUUGAUGAGCUCAUCAAUCAUGGUAUAUAUAUUAUUGAUACAUGUAAAUUAUUGAACUAACUUGAAUGUUGAGUUUGUGCAUGAUAGGGGAAUAAUGUAUUGAAUGGAUGUAUGAAUGUUUAUUGCGUUGUAUUGAAAAUAUUAGGUAAGUAUAAUUCUUGUUACACGAGCUUACUAAGCACAAAGUGUUUACCCUGUUCCCUUUUCCCCUGUUUUGUAGUGUUAAGAGCUCGGAGGUCGGAUUCGGUCAGAGACGCAUCACACUAUCAACCUCAAUAUUUCGGUAUAUAAAGAAACUUUAUUUUGGAAAUCAAUGGCAUGUAUAAGCUAGUAAAGUAAAUGUUAAUGUGAAAUGAAUAUAUGGUUAGCCAUUGGUAUGGCUAACAAAUUUUGGUUUUGGUAUGUGAUGAGGUUAUCUUGUGAAUAUGUUAAAUCUAUCUUGAAAAUAUGUUGAAAUGGAUUGGUUGUGUUGGAUUAGUCUCGGUUUAAAAUUGCAGGGAAUGUUAGAAAUUUAUAAAGGGGUUAUAUUGAGUUCAAAAAAAAAAACUUUGGGAUUUUGCGAAAAAUUUCUUAUGGUUUCUGUUGACACCAUUUUUUUGAUGAAAACGGGGUCGACUUGGGUUUUGAAAAUGAAAACGAAAACGGGAGUCGCCACCAAUCCUUUUUGAUAAGGUGUGAUUGGAUCACCUCGAAAAGUGGUUGUUUUUAAUAAAAGGUUUGAUUUAAUUAAAACAAUAAGUUUGGUCCACGAAAUUCAGAAAAACGGGUUCGGAAGUCGGUUACGCAUGAGGAAAGAUUAGCACCCUCGAUACGCCCAAAAUUGGUACCUAGUUGAUUUCUUAAUGUCUUAGGUCGAAGAUUGAAAACUUUAAAGAAAUUUAAAAUACGAUCCUUAAAAAAAAACUCGAAUGGCAUGGAUUUAAAUUCAAUAGGAUAUUUGGCAAUUUGGUUAAACGAGAAAUCGAAACCCAGCACCUUAGGGCACGUUCCUCGAAUUUCCAAACGCAAAACAUUGCCUUAUUUUGAAAUUUUUAAGAAGGAUAUUAAGCCAUUUGGUUGAACGAGAAAAAUCGACACCCAGCACCUUAGGGCAUGUUUUCUCGAAUUUCCAAAAGUAAAAUAUUGCCUUAUUUAGAAAAACUUUCCUUUUGAUGUACGGUGUAAAAUAUGCAUAACAAAAUAAUAAUGAAUACGACAAGGUAAGCAUAAAUAUUGUGAGGAACAACAGAUGUUAAGUAGGCAAAAUGAAAAUGACCAAGCGAUUACAUAUAAAAAAUAGCAAGUAAAUAAAUAAGUAGAACUAAAGCAUUUUUAGAAAAGUAAUAGUGUAUGCGAAUAAAUAAAUAACACCAAGUAACAACGAUUACAAUACAUAAGAUAAAUAAAACCAUGUAGAAAAUAUGAAAAUAUAUGUAUGUAUGUAUGUAUGUAUAUUUUUAAGUUAUGAAGAUAAAUAAUACAUGUAUAUAUGUAAAUAGUUUUAAAAAAUGCGUAUAUAUAUUAUAAAAUAUAUGUCGAGAUUAUAAAAUAUAUGGAUGCAUGUACAUAGUUUUAAAAUGAUAAAACAUAAAAAAAAUACAUUUAGGAUUUAUAAAAUAUAUGUACAGAUUAUAAGAACGUACGUGUGCAUGUAUAUUUCUUAAAAUUAUAAAAUAUAAAAGACGUAUGUAUAUACAUAUAUAUAUGAAAAUAAAAAAAUAUAGAUUAUAGAAUAUAAAAAUAUAUAUAAGUAGGUGUAUAUAUUAUGUACAUAUAUUAUAACAAUGUAUGCAUGUAUAUGUAUACAACAAAAUUUGAAGUUUAAAAUAUUAAAAUAAGCAAAUAGUAAAAUACUAAUAUUAAUGACAUAAUAUAAAAGCAAAAAAAAAAAACUAGGGCCAGAUUUUAAAUGAAAUAAUAAAAAAGGGUAAAGGACCACAGUAAAAUGCGCGUUAAGAAGGAGGGACUGAUCGCGCAAUAUUCCCCAUCCCGUAUGCGCAUUGAUUUGUGCGGAACCAGAUUGGAACAGGCGAGAAAUUACGUGGCCGAAAUUAAAAGAAAUAAAAGAGUGCGUCGCAUGUGUCACAGAAUUGGAGGGACUAAUUGUGUAAAAUACCCAUUAGGGUAAUAAUGCACAACCCUCUUUCCUUUACACGGCGCCGUUUAAACUUCAACACAAAAGCUAAAGACUUUGUUUUAUUUUUUUGCUGCUACAUUCUGCAGAGAGACGCAAAAAGAAAUAAAAGGGAAAUUCCCUUCUUUGCUAGGGUUCCAGGCUUAGCCUUGGAACCCCGGCGCCAUCACGCCUUCCCCUGCCCGGUGGCCAGAGCCAUGCUAGGGUGUCUCCCACCAGCACGUUGGAGCACGCUCAGAGACCAAGGCUCUAAAACGGAGGAACGAGGAGAAAACGGAAGGCCUCUGUCCCUUCCUUAACCAACGUUCGACGACGGCGAAGAGCCGAUGACGACGCCGGAUUCAGGGGCCGAUUCAGGUGAGUUUAUUCUUCCCCUUUUCCUUUAUCUUUAUUUUUUGUUUUUGUUUGAAAAAUCAAAAUAAAAAAUAAAUACAACGAAAAAAAGAAAAAGGAAAGAUUGGAAUCGAAAAUCCAGGAAAUCACCUUUGAUUUUUUUGCUUUUAUUUCUGUGAAUAAGUUACAAGAAAGAAAAGAAAAAGAAGCCCCCAUUCUAAUUACACUUCGUUCGGCCUUUAUAGCCGAUUAUGUUGUUUUUUUUUUCUAUUGUAUUCUACUGUUCUUUUGCCUCUGUUUUCUUCUAUUGUUUUGUCUUGUUUGCAGGUUUUGGUGAAGUCAACGGAGACGGAAAGCUUCCAUUUUGGUGCAAGGCGCAGCUGGCGGUGGCAGACCUCGGGUGUGGUGCACGCUGAAGGCGCACAUGGGUAGCAGCGGUGCGAGGCAAGGACAGGGAACCCUAGGGUUCCCUGUGCUGUUUAGUUUUUGGGCCCAAUGGGCCGUUUAUGGACUGAUAUAUUUUUUAUUUUUUUAGUUUUGUUUCGGGCCCGGAGUAAUUGGGCCUCUACAAUUUUGAUUUAAUCUCGAUUUGGUCUGGAUGUAUGUUUUGGGCUUCGGAGGCCCAACCAAAGGACGUCAUGACAUGUUUUGAUAAAUGAAUAGUAUUGAACUCGUAAUAAUGAAAAAUUAAUUCGGUAAAAUCUGGUAAUGCCUCAUACCCUAUUCCGACGACGAAUACGGGUAGGGGGUAUUACAUAUAUCUUCCUGCAUUGAUAGCAAUGCUUAUGUCAAUCGAGCUAAAAAUCAAUCGGCGGUUCCUCUUUAAAAAUUUUAAUUAGACUCAUGUUUUUAAAAAAAUUUCUCAUUAAUGCUUCAUAUUCUAGCUUAUAAUUUAUCUCAACCUCCUAAUGCAAAAUUUCUAGUUUCAUCCUUGAAAUUAUGCCAAAUUAAAUCUCAAAAUUUAAGUUGGAGGGAUUAAAACCAUAAUUAAGCUGCAAACUGUGAUUUUACUUAAUCACAGUUUCAUACAAUCCUUUCUUGUGCAGAGAAUGUGUUAAGUAUGACUCAUAUUUCAGUCAAAUUUGAAAAAUAAUCUUCCAGUUAAAUUCUAUUUAUUUGUUUCAAUCAAACUCUGAUUAGUCUAGAUUAUUUUAUUAUUAUUUCACCUAUGAAUUUAGCCCAUAAAUAUAUUCUUUUACAACCUCAUAAAAUACAUCAAUUAGAUAUUAGAACUUUUGUGUUUACGUUUUGAGGGUUAUUUGUUUUCGGGUUUUUGGAGUUUAGUUUUUAUCUUCAUCUUUUGUACUAUUCGUUUCUUUUGCCAUUAUAGUGAAAUUAUCUUUGCCUGUGAUUUUUUAUUCUCUUUGGAGGGGUUUUUCUACGUUAAAUUUGUGUGUUCAAAUUCUCAAUUUCUUCUGCUAUUUUUACUUGUUCGUUGCUUAAUCGGGUAUAUCCCCAACAAAAUGGAUUGUAUGAAACUGUGAUUCCACGUCAUCUUUAUCCCUUUGCAAUGGUAGAAUGACAAAUCAAAUUUUUCCUCUGGAUUUUCAACUUUUUGCUACUGAAAAAUUCAAAUCCAAUUCUCCAUUUGAAUUUUUUCAAUAGGAAAAAGUUGAAAAUCAGGAGAAAAAAACUGAUUUGCCAUUCUUCUAUUACAAAGGGAUAAGGAUGGUAUGGAAUCAUAGUUUUAUACAAUCUAUUCUCAUAUAUUUGAUGUAUAAAAUUUUGAAAAUAAUAAAACUUAAUGAAUUUAACAACUACUAUGUAAUUUUUUUUAAAAAAUUGGACUGACCCGGUUUGAUCAUCGAUUCGCUGGUCCAACUAGUCCAAUUAAAAAUUAUUAAGAAUUCAAAAAAUAAUAAUAAUUAAAAAAUCUGGUUCAAUUGAUUUUUACUUGGUUUAAUCAGUCCGUAUUGAUUUCUAGGUUAAUUGAUUCAAAGCCCCUAUUUAAAUUGGUACCUUAAUAGGAUUCAAAUUUUAAAAUUAAAAAAUUAAACGACUUAAAUAAUAGAUAUUAAUUGUAAAAAUAAAAUUAUAGAGAUUGAAUCACAACUAUAUAAAAAAAACCAUCAUAAUAUAAUUUAUCCUAAUAAUUAAUAGUUCUUACCUACCAUGUUAUUUAUGAGAAAUGGAGAAGCCGUCGUUAUGGGAGGGGAGUAUAUAUAUACACAUGUACACCAGGGAAGCCGCAAAACUGCAAAACUGAGAGUAAAAAGAGAGACCACAAUGGGAGAAGAAAAUAAAACCAGAAAUUUACCCUAUGUUUUAAUCUUCCUAUCCCAGUCCAAGGCCACAUAACCCCCAUGUCCCAUUUCGCAAAACGCUUAGUCUCCAAAGGCAUCAAAACCACCUUAGUCACCACCGUCUUCAUCUCCAAUCCUUCUUUCCCAACCCAUGCUCCACCACCUCCACCGACCUCGAAACCAUAUCCGACGGCUUCGACGAAGGCGGCUCUAACCAGGCCCCUAGCACCAAAGUUUACCUUCAAACGUUUUGUUCCGUGGGUUCUAACAGCUUGGCAACUUUAACUAAGAAACUCGUCGAUACUGGCGAUCGUCCUGUUCUUGUCUACGAUAGGGUUCUCACGAUGGGCGUUGGACGUUGCAAAGCAGUUUGGGAUACCGCCGGCUGUGUUUUUCACCCAAUCUUGUGCUGUCAACAAUGUGUAUUACCAUGUUAGUAAGGGGAUUCUUCAGCUGCCACUGCUUCCGGAGGUUAAUGUUUCACUCCCUGAAUUGCCUUUGCUUCAAGUUUCGGAGCUACCGUCGUUUAUUUCUGAUUAUGAACCGCAGUCGGCUUGGUUUGAUGUUACUGUGAAACAGUUUGAGAACGUAGAUGGAGCUGACUGGGUGGUUUUUAACAUUUUUUACGAAUUAGAGGAGGUAUGUCCUUUCUUAAUACUACUUCUUUUGCUUUGGAUUAAUUUUGAGUACUAUUCCGGUUUGAAACUCAAGUAGGAAUGUAACUUAGCCGAGUGAAAUUAAAAUAAUAUUAAAUUCUUCAUUUGAAUUUCAAAGUUUAAUCCAUCUAAUAAUUUUAAGUUUGAGUUCGGCUCAAGACAUAAUUAAGUUACUCGACUUUGAAUUUGAUUAAGUUUAUAUAUCUAUUUUGCUACUUAAGUUCAAACUUGAGUUUGAUUAAAUUCGUUCUAGCAUAAGCUCUUUUAAUAUAAUAUAAAAAUAUAUUAAAAUGAAAAACUUGAUGAAGCUUCCGAGCUGUUGAAAUCGAGUAUUAUAGUGCUCGAAUUCAACUCGAUUGUCCGCUCGAACUAUUAGAGCUAGAGUCUGGCCCAAUAAUUACUAAAUUAAAUUUGAAUUUUUUUUUUGACUUGAACUUGAAUAACUUGUGAGUACUAGUCAUUUACACUCUUAGGCUUGAGUUAUCUAGUCAAGUAACUUUGGAUUUAGAUCAUUUCAAGUUUCGGUCAUUUUAAGUUUGGGUCAAUUCAAGUUCAAGUUGGACCAUUUUCAAAUUGUUUCUUUUAGGCCAAAUUAAUCAGAUUGAUAAGUUGAAUUUCUGAGUCUAGGUCAUAUUGUUAGAUAUACGUUGGUAAUUAUUAACUUCAUAUACACUUAUCAAUUCCGUAAAUUAGAUUGGUUUUUGGGUUAGAAAAAUUUGGAUCGGAUCAGUUUGAGUUUUGAAAUUUUUGAAUAAUUUUGAUUUUGUUUAGUUUCGGGUUUGAAUAAACUUUGAUUUGAUUCGUCUUAAGUUUGGAUUGUUUUGGUUCUGAAUCAUUUGAGUUUGAGACUUGAGGUUUUUUUUUUCAAAUUUAGAUCGUUUAAUGUUCAAAUUAUUUUAGACUACCGGUUCAAGUUCUUUUGAUUUUAGAUAAAUUUUAGAUUCAAAUCAUUUGAUUAAUUCAAAAGUAUAGGUCGGAUGAGUUUAGACUCUUGAUUUUAAUGAUCAAAUUAGAUUGAAUUAAAUUUAAAUUUGAAUUGAUUUCGGAUUAAGGUAUUUUCAUUCAUAAUUAUCAACUUAAUUACUAACUGAUUGUUGAUUAGGUGGUGGAUUGGAUGUCAAGUUUUUGGAACGUAAUGACAAUAGGACCAACAAUUCCAUCAAUGUAUUUAGACAAACGACUUGACGACGACAAAGACUACGGCAUGAAUCUCUUCAAUCCAGAGACAGAUGCUUGUCGGAGUUGGCUAAACGGCAAGCCAAACGGCUCAGUCGUGUACGUCUCAUUCGGAAGCCUUGCAUUACCGGAAGCCAACCAAAUGCAAGAGCUAGCUUUGGCCUUGAAAGGCAGCGAUUGUAACUUCUUAUGGGUCGUAAGGGAAACAACCGAAAUGGCCAAACUCCCAACCCUUUUCAUAGAGGAAACUAAGGAGAAAGGCUUGGUGGUGACUUGGUACAAUCAACUCGAGGUGUUGUCUCACGACUUGAUAUGUUGUUUUCUCACCCAUUGCGGUUUGAAUUCCGUUCUCGAAGCGUUGAGUCUUGGUGUUCUGAUGUUGGAGAUGCCGUUUUGGACCGAUCAGAUCACAAAUGCGAAGCUAGUGGAGGAUGUAUAUGGGGCAUUGGGAUUACGGGUCGGCGAAAUCAGAAUGAUUUAGCGACGAAAGAGACGAUCGAGCGGUGCUUAAACGAAUUCGUAAAUGGAGAAAAGGGUAAAGAGAUUAAGAUGAAUACAAUCAAAUGGAAGAAUUUGGCUAAAAAGGCGGUCGAAGAAGGUGGAAUUUCAGAUAAAAACAUUGAUGAAUUUAUAGCUAAAUUACUUGAAAAUUAUUAUGUUACGACCUUCUUUAUAAAUAAAUAAAAAAUGCAUGCAUGCAUGCAUGCAUGCAUUUUUCUAAUGUAAUUUAGCUAUAAAUUCCAUGCAUUAAUUACAACAUAAUGGUUAUUUGUUUUUUUAUCACAUGAUAGCUUUUAAUUGGUUGUUUUUUUUUUCUAAUGAAGGGUCAUUUGGGUCAUGAAAAGUUAGUUUAGGUUUUAAAAAAAAAUAAAUACCAAGGAUGAGAAAAAUGUACAAUUUAAGUACCUUUAAAAAAUAAAAAAAUAAACAAGAAAUAGAUAAGAAAAAAGAAUAGAAGAAAGAAAAUUUAUUAUUAAAAUAUUAAUUAUAAAUCAGUUCAAUAUUUUAUAAAUUAUUUGUAAUAAAAUAUUGUUUAUAAUUUAAAAUAUGACUUUUUUGGUCUUUAGUUAUAUAAAUUUUUAAAAAAAUAAUUUUAUAAAAGCAAUAGAAUUAAAUAACAUUAUAUUAAUUGUAAAUACAAAAAAAAAUGUAUUUAUUAUGUAAAAGAGAAGAAAGGAAUGGUGAAAACAGUGUCAGAAUAGCUGACGGAAGGAUCUCAUCUGAGUGAUACUAAUCAUUUUGGAUUAAAUUAGAACAAUUUAAAAUUUAGGGACUGAUUUAAAAUCUGAUCGUACUUCGAGGACCUCUAGUGCAAAUAAUGUUUUUAAGAUGUGUGCAUUAUCCAUUACUUUUGUUAUUGGGCCAAGCCCAGCACGUUCAAUUUAUUCCGACAAGAUCUUAUGAUCUUAGAUACCAGAAAACAUGGGUCAAAAACUCAAAAUCUUUGUCUGAAUCACACGUGGCAUAACUUUAAGAGCACCCCUCAAUUUUCACUAACACCACACCUCUUUCACGCAUAAAUGCUUUAAUGUCCGAUAGCAAAAUUCGAGAGUGCUCCAAUUAAAAAAAAACAAAAAACAAAAAUGGCUAUGCACUGACUCACACUGCAUUGCUUAAUAUAAAACCUUAGCUUUUUUACCUUCACUUUCCUCUCUUUUGCUCUCUCUUUCUCUCUUAGGGAUUGAAGAACAGUAGCUUAGCAGCCACACAUAUCCCCUCUUUUGAACCUCCCCCCCACCCCCCCCAAAAAGGAAAAAGAAAAAUGGAUUAAUAAUUCGAAAUCUCCUUCGGAUUAGUCGAAUUAGGUCAGUUUAUCACUCCAUUUCCCUUUGAAUCAAGUCAGGUAAAUUUCCUCUUUACUUUUUUAUUCCUUUCUUUUCGUUUUCAUUUUCUCUCCAGAUCGGCACUAUUUUCUUUUAAAUUUGUUGACUUUUUUAUGCUUCUGGAAUCCCAUGUCUUGAACUGUUAAAUUUCGUGUUUUUAUUUGCUUUGUGCUGAUUUUGCUUUUUUAGAGGGUUUGGUGGGUUUUUUUCUUGGUUUAGGGUUUAGGAUCUAGGGGUUGGUGGUGUGUUUUUAUGUGAAAUUGAAGCUUGUAAAAUCACUGGUGAGAGCAUUUACUUCUUUAAUGUAAAAUUAUAUGCUUCUCUGUAUUUAGGCUUUCUAGGGUUAAGCUGGAUCUCUCUCUCACUUUAUAUCUAUUUCUCUUUUGUCUUGAAGACUUAUUUGUAGGAUUUGUGUAGGGUUUGAAAUGGGGUUUGUUUUCUAUUUAUUGCAAUAAAGGUAUAUUUACUAUGAACAUAAUAAUGCUGAAAUUGUAAGUGAUAGUUGUAUUAAAUUAAAUUUGGGAACUUAUUUUUAAGUGGUCCUUAUUGAGUCAAGCCAUUUAGAAUGGGGAAGUAGUGAAAAGUAGGAAUGAAUUUGGAUUUUCUGAAAAUCAUUAUCUUCCAACAUGGAGCUUAGAUCAUUUGUGGUCUUUCUUUGGGGAAGUGUUAUUGUUGUGAGAGGAUUACUAGAAGUCUGUUUCAUGUUGUAAUAUUUGUUGUUUGAGGAUGAAAUCUUGUUCUGAUCCAAGGUAAACUUGCUUCUUUUGGAAAUUGUUGAUGGAUAUUAACGAAGGAAUAGUAUCAUAGUUGUGGAACCGAGUUAGAAAUAUAUGUAGAAAAAAGUUCUCGGGAUUGUCAACCGGAGUCUGUCUUUUUAGUGGAUGGAACUGUUAUUCAUGGCGUGUUUUUUUGUUUUUACUUUUCCUGUUGUCCACUCAAUAGUGCUACUUUUCUUUUAGAAAAUGGGUCUAGUAGGAUCAUAAUGGGAAAUUUUGUUUAGCGACUUGGUAGUUCUGCUAACUUUUUCCACAGUAUGUCUAUUUUAUGCUGUGACUUGUCGCUGGUGAGCAAGUGAGGGAUCAGGUAGGGAUAACUUGAGAUGCUGCUUUCUUUUCCUCUUUUUAUUUAUUUAGAGUGAAGGAUCGCAGCUCACUUUAGUAUAAAAUAUUUGGCAUUGAUGUGACUAGACGUAUCCCCAUUCUGUGUUGUGGCUAAUAAGUACAACUUGUACAAUGGAUCAAGUGAUUUCAAGCAGCAGAUUCUCCCGAAACCCUGUCCCUUCUUGUGAAUACUGAAACAUUAAAUGCUCAUCUUUUGUAAGUAUCCAUGUGGUCUGAAUACUGCAAAAUUUUGAAGGAUGUGUAGCCAUGUCUUAAUUGACUUUGUUUCUUAUCGUGAAAGUGUGGAAAGGAAAUGUUAAUAACGGUAGGAAGUGUCAUUAAUGAGUAAUCCGAUCCUUUUGUUUUUUAUCAUGAAAGUGUUGGUUGCUAAGGAAUCUGUAAAUGGUUCUUACAGUGGAUUACAAACGUAGUUGUCGACAUUUUCUUGAUAUACAUGUAUUCAAGUUGUAGUAUUUUGCCAUAGUUUUGCUUAUAACUAUGCAAGUCCUCUAGUUUUGUUGCUCUUUACUUUAUUCUCUUCAGUUUAUAUUGCUGUGCUUUAUUAGUAACUUGUUAUCAGUGUUACAGGCAAUGUUCAGUUAUUUGAAAUAGAAAAGAUAUGUUUGGUUAUGUCAGACUUUAUCUUUCGUGUUAUUCAGUUUCUUAUUUUCUGUUUUGCUGAUGUCUUUCUCUUUCAGUUUUUAUGCCAUGGAAGAUUCACAGUCAGUUGCAACACUCAUAGGCUCGACAGCCUCCAAGAUACAGCAGCUUCAAAAAGCAUUUGCUGAACUUGAAAGUCAGCGUGCUCUAACACUUAAUCUAAGAUGGAAAGAACUUGAGGAACAUUUCAGUGGUCUUGAGAAGUCCUUGAAGAGACGCUUCCAUGAGUUGGAAGACCAAGAAAAGGAAUUCGAGACAAAAACAAGGAAAGCUCGAGAAAUGCUACAGAAGCGUGAAGCAGCUGUUGUAGCUAAAGAACAAUCCUCAUUGGUGAGGUUACAAGAAAAGAGAGAUGCUGCUGUUUUUUCCAUUACUAAUGCUUUAGAGAAGCACAGGAAAUUAUCAUCUGGGCAGCCUGCUGAUAAUGGAGAUAAUGGUGAACUCUCAGUUGAGGAGAAACAACCUGAGGAUAUCAAAAGUUCUUUUGAGAAUGGAAAUCUCGAGGUGAAAUCUUAUCCUCAAUUGGUAAAACUAUGUGAAGAAAUGGACUCUGAAGGACUACAGAAGUUUAUUUCAGAUAAUCGUAAGAACCUUCCUGCUCUGAAAGAGGAAAUUCCUUGGGCGUUGAAAGCUGCAGCAAGUCCAGCUCGCUUGGUCCUGGAAUCGUUGGAAGGAUUUUACCCUUCAGAAGUUGAUGGAAAGAAAGAUGCAAACCUAUUGGGGCUUAGGCGAACUUGUAUUAUGUUGAUGGAAUGUCUUAGUGUCUUGCUUUCUAAUCUGGAUAUGGUUUCUGUUUUGGCUUUGAUCUCUGAAGAUAUUAAGGAACAAGCAAAGCUAAUUGCUGAGGAAUGGAAACCAAAGCUGGAUGCUCUUGACAUGGAUGCUAGUAAUGGUAACUCAUUGGAAGCUCAUGCUUUUCUGCAACUUAUCGAUACAUUUGGUAUUGCUUCUGGUUUCAACGAAGAAGAACUUUCAAGGCUGAUACCAAUGGUCUCUCGUCGGCGACAAGCAGCUGAUCUCUGCCGUUCCCUUGGUUUAUCUGAGAAAAUGCCAGGUCUGUUCAGUAUCAACUUACACUAGCACAAGUAACCUGGUUAAUUUAUAGUGCAUGUGGUUAAUUUGUACAUUAACUUUUAUUUAUCAUUUAGGUGUAAUUGAAGUUCUGGUGAAAAAUGGAAGGCAGAUUGAUGCAGUUAACCUGGCUUUUGCAUUCGAGCUAACAGAGCAGUUUUCACCUGUGCCAUUACUGAAAUCCUACUUGAAGGAGGCUAGAAAAGCUUCUUCACCUGUAAAGCCUGGAAAUGCCUCUCCCACUGCCCAGGUGUGUUUUUUAUUGGUUUGCCUACUACUGGCCAAAUAUAUUUCGGUUUGCUAUUAACUUAUAAUGUCAAAUUUAUCCCUAAACGUUUACAUCUUUUGUCAAUUUGGCUCUUAUUCUUUUUUUGAGCUAAAUUUGACUCCCUCAAUCUUUUGAAAAGAGUCAAAUUUGAUCAUCAAUCUUUUGAAAAAGAGUUGAAAUGAUGUUUUUAACAAGAAUACUAACUAAAAUGUUAAAUUUUUAAACACAACAGCCUGCAUGACAAUGCACGUGAAUUUAAUAUUAAUUUUUUUGAAUUUUUUGUAUUUUUAAUUUAAAUUUUGAUUUUUUAAUUUUUUUAAUUUUUAAAUUAUUUGUUGAUGUGACAUAGAAAGCAAAUGAUGUUAUGUUAGCAUGAUGUGCACACGGAUUGCCAUGCGAGUUGUCCCACCAGCCACGUUAAAAAGUAAUGUUUUAGUCAUCAUUUUCGCUAAAAAAAGCAAUUUGACUCUUUUUUGAAAGAAUAAGGGUCAAAUUUAGUAAAAAAAAAGGAAUAAGGGCCAAAUUGAUGGAAAAUGUAAAUGUUGAGGGCUAAAUUUAUUGUUAUGUCUACUAUUAAACAUGUUUGAGGGGCAAGCACAUUUUUAUUAUUUUUGCUCACAAGGCCUUGUCUGAAGCCGAUUGGACCAGCUUUUUGGCUAGUUUACCCAUUCUUACACCCUUGUGUCUUGCCUGACCAUUUAGUAUAUGAUUUGGCCAGUUGUGUUUUUGCAUUCUCGAAAAUGAAUCACUAAUUGCUUCUGUGUUUUCAGACUGAAGUUAGUGAACGGGAAUUGACUGCUCUUAAGGCUGUGAUUAAGUGCAUUGAAGAACAUAAUCUGGAGGAGCAAUACCCUGUCGAUCCACUUCAGAAACGAGUUCUCCUGUUAGAGAAAGCAAAAGCAGACAAGAAAAGGGCAACUGAAGUUGCAAAGCCUCAACCCAAGAGGCCUCGUGCUAAUGGUGCCGGAUAUGGUCCUCGAGUCACUAACGUAGCUGCUGACAAAACAUUCUAUCCCAGAGUCACUGACAGGUACAUGCAGUACGUGUAUGACAGACCCUAUGUUUACCCCGGACCUGCUGACAACCACAGCCACUCUCUUCUUGCUUCUGCUACCUUCAACUUCUCUCCUAGUCAUGGGAACUACUUUGGAAACGGGUACCAGUAUCAGACUCCGUAUCUUCACUAAUUCCCAAACAUGGCAUAAAGGUAACUAUGAUCCUCUCACUUUAGCUGUUAGCUUUAACCUUUCAGGUGCAGUGUAUGAAUGGAUUUAGUAUUUAAAAAAAAAAACAACAAAAAAUGGAAAAAAAAAUGUGCUGUUUAAUUUGAAUCUGGUGUAGACGAAGAUAUUUUGAUCCUCUAAUAUAUAUGCACUCUUUAUAUGUAUAUCCGUUGUUUUAUUCUUUUAUAUUUUGUUCUUUUCUCCUAGUUUUGUAUGGAUUGUGGACUUUGCACAGGUAAGUGUUUGGUAUGCUACAUGGUGUAUUCUAACAGGAUAAUAUUCUUAUCCUAUAUAUACACACAACAAUGGCUAGCUCGGGUUGGGGUUCAUCCUUUUUUAUCGGAACGGGAAUGCAGCACAUUUUUGUGGUUAAUCGCUUUAUCUGUUUAGAGAAUACUUGCGAUGAGGGAUGUUGGUAACAAAAAAAAGAACUCAGCUCAGACCUACAGAGGUCCAAAUACCAAGCAUGGACAAGCAGCUGGAUCAGUCCACUGCCUCAGUCUAACACCAAUCCAGUUCACCACCUCAUAACACCAAUAAUAGCAAACUAAUUUUUUUUUUUUUACAACUUGCAACGAUUAUUUUAAAAGGUUACAAAAUGUUUAUUAAAUUAUUUAAAAUUUUUUAUUUAAGUUAAUUAUUUAAAUUUUUUUAUUUAAAUUAUUGGAUUAACUUUUUUUAAAAGGUUUGGUUAGCGAGUUCUAAGUGACUAUUUAAUGAUCGAUAUAGUUGAUUAAUAUUUAUCGACGAGUAGAAAAAUAUAUAUUAGAUUUAAGUUACGAUUUAACGAUCAGUGUUGGAAAUUGAAAAGAAAAUUGUUUGCAUUUUGGUUUAUAAAUUUGUAAUGUUUAAAAUUGUUUAUUUAAAAGAAAAUCGAACUGUAAAAAAAAGGAAACUAGAGAUUUUAGUUGAUGCAAUAGUGUGUAAAUAGUCAAAUGACUUAACUUUUUUGAAA
rnacentral:lncRNA from 1 species